UCACACACCUAAGACCCUCUUUGACGUAUCAAGAAUCAUUCCCAGAAACCCAAACUCAAAAUUGAAUCAAAGUGCCUACAUCCACUGAAGAACAAGGACCAUUUCAUAAUCAUUCCAAGAAUAUACAACUUUUUCUCUUUAACUCUCUCUUUCUAUGGCUUUGAUGAGACAUGUGAAGAUGACCCAACAACCAGCCAUAUAAACUACAAUAAAGGCUAUUUCCAACAAACCCGAAAUUUCCCUGCACUUUUUUAACGAACCCCAACUGACUUUGGACCAGCAUUGUCGCCCUUACAAUGAACGACACGUCGGCGAAAUUCCAAAAAAUCGAACGACAAUAUCGUUCUGUCAGUUUUAAGAUGAUGAGAUGUGAUCACAGCACAAACAUUUUUCGUCUCACUAAAGUAAUGAGAUUGAACUGUACCACUACUCAAAAACUAGAAAAAUAAAAUAAAAUAAAAAACAAUAACAUAUAUGCAACUACAAUGUUGACAAAUUGAAUACACACCAGUGAACGUGAAAAUAUAAAGUAAAACAAGAAAAUGACAUAAUCCCUGAAAACAAAGAAACCAAACAAUUCUUAUAAGAAAAAAAAAAACCACACAAUUUCAGUGAAGGCUGGAUUCUUAUUGAAAUUGAAACUUUGGCUGCAGUACAGUUAAGAUAUUUUCCGCUCUGCUUUGACCUACACAUACAAGUAAUUGAAUAUCUUAUUUUACAGUUUUUCUUGAUUAUUUCAACAACCAAUACAUAAGGGUUCUGCCUCUUCUAUUAAUAAGGGAUUAAUGAUUAGUGUCAGUAUCGGGGAAUGUGAUGGACACUGAUACGAAUUUAUAUAUCAAAUUGGAGCCAUCAGAGGAGGCGCAAGUGGAAGAGCUCAACCAAGAACCCACAGUCAGUCAACCCAAGGAGGACAUUCACCAUGAGCUAGUGCAAGAGAAUCAACGGCCCAAACGAAACAAGAAACUUCCAGACUGGCUACGAGACUACGUCGUUUAGGAUGAUAUGUAAAAGCAUUGUGAUUGGCUGCGUUUGUUUUGGAUUCUUUUUUGUCAUUUUCUGUUGCGUUGUCAAAUUGGUUAUUUUCGAUUGUCUGUUAUAUAUUGCGGGAUUUUGUCAUUUUGGGAAGGCAUGAAAUGAAUGGACCACUUUUCUUCCUCUCUAUGACUCUUCUUCUUUUCUUCUUUCUCAUUUCUCAACUUCCAGUUCUUUCCUCUGGAGCAAACACUCGCUCGAAGUAGUGAUAAUUUUGAUAUUGCUCAGUUUCACGAAUUAAGAGCAUAUCACUGGUGCUUUCAUUGAUCAUGGCAAAUUCUGAAAUUCUUUUUGCUUUACAGACCUUUCAAGCAACUUUUGACGCCAAACUUGAUGGGCAACAACUGUCCAUCCAUCAAACAAUCUAACAAUUCAUGACAUCAGUUGACUCUCGUUUUGAGGAGUUACGUAUAGAAAUUCAUGGGUCUUCCAACAAACCAGUUGGUUCCUCCAACCCUUCACACCCUUCAUCUUCUAAAUAUGAUGGCGUUCUUCAUGGUUCUGAAGUUUCUCCAGUACUUCGUUCCAUGAAAAUGGAUGUGCCCAAAUUCGAUGGGUCUGACCCUACUGGAUGGAUUUUUCGAAUAGAAGAAUUUUUGACUUUCAUGACACACCUGAGAUCCUCUGACUACGGAUUGUCUCUUUUCAUAUGGAGGGUCGCGCUGCCGCGUGGUAUCAAUGGAUGAAGAACAAUCACUUGGUCACUACUUGGCAAGAAUUUUUAGCUAACUUGCGCUAUCGUUUUGGUGCUUCUUUGUAUGAAGAUCCCCAAGGUGAUUUGUCCAAAUUGAGCCAAACUACCACGGUUGCCGAUUUCCAGUCAGCUUUUGAAGAUUUAAUGAACAAGGUCACUGUAAUUUCUGAACCUCUUUUGAUUAUUUUUUUCAUCACUGGUUUGAAACCCAACAUUCGACGGGAAUUGUUUUUCUCUAGACCGUCUUCAUUAAUGGAAACUUUUGCCUUAGCUCGUGCUUUUGAGGCCAAAUAUGACGAAGUGAAACAGAGCUCACGCUCAUGGCCUAAAUGGCAGCAACCGUAUCCCCUUUCACCUGGUUUCCAAACACAACCCAAACCCAUUUAUCCAUCCUCUUCACCUGCAACUGUUACCACAGCCAUCACCCCCGUAUCAUCUUCAACUCUUCCCUCACAAACCCACAAUACCAAUAACUCCAACACUUUACCUGCAUUAUUACCGACACCAACAUUACCUAUUCACCAUUUGUCUCCAGCCGAACUUCGCGACAAACGCGAGAAAGGUUUAUGUUACGAUUGUGACAAAAAAUACAGCAGCAAUCAUCGCUGUCGCAGUAAAUUUCUACUUCUCAUGGGCAUGGAUGAUGAGGAAUUGGAACCCAAACAUAACGAGGAACCAUCAGAAUUGGUAGAUGCUGGUAUUACUGGUGACAUCUCUAGCUUAAAUGCUCUAGCAGGGCAGGCCAAUCCUCGCUCUCUUCGUUUAAUUGGAGAAAUUGCUUCGCACACCUUUCAAGUGCUGAUUGAUAGUGGCAGCACUCACAAUUUCAUAAAACCGGCGUUAGCGGAACGAUUGGGGUUAGCCAUUCAUCCCACUACCAAUUUCCGAGUGUAUAUUGGCAACGGUGACUUCCUGGUGUGUAAACAGUUCUGUCCUCAAGUGAACUUAACAAUGCAAGGCACGACUUUUAUGGUAGACCUCUUCAUUUUGCCAAUUGAGGGCACAGAUGUAGUCCUUGGCAUUCAAUGGCUACAGAAAUUGGGCAAAGUGUCCUAUGACUACUCUGCCCUUACCAUGGAGUUUUCUUUAAAUGAGCAACCAGUGAUGCUUCGUGGUGAUUUGUCUUCUAAUACUUUGAUCACUUAUAAUCAAUUGCAGGCAUUGGUUCAAAGUGAUACCGUGACCAGCCUUUGUGCUUUACAACCAGUGCCCGCCAUCGAUGCUUUGCCUUCAUUCUCCAUCACAGACACUUCCUCACUUGAAUUUCCUUCUUCCCUUCCUGCUCAAUUUCUCAACCUUUUACAGCAAUACAAACACCUAUUUCUCCAACCUUCUAGCCUACCACCACACAGAACUAUUGACCACAAAAUCCAUUUAUUACCCAACACAUCCCCCAUCAAUGUUCGUCCAUACCGCUACCCACACUUCCAAAAAUCUGAAAUGGAAAAACUGAUAAGGGAAAUGUCAGAGCAGGGCAUAAUUCGACCUAGCCAAAGCCCUUUUUCCUCCCCGGUUCUCUUGGUCAAGAAAAAAGAUGGCACCUAUCGGUUUUGUGUUGACUAUCGUGCAUUAAAUGCCGUAACCAUCAAAGACAAGUUUCCUAUACCGACAAUCGAUGAGUUGUUUGAUGAACUUGGGGGCGCCACCAUUUUUAGCAAAUUGGAUUUGCGCGUGGGAUACCAUCAAAUUCGUGUCCACAACCGCAACAUAUACAAAACGGCAUUUCGAACACAUGAGGGCCAUUAUGAGUUUCUCGUCAUGCCGUUUGGGUUGACAAAUGCCCCAUCCACUUUUCAAGCCACAAUGAAUCAGAUUUUUGCAGCUCAUCUCCGGAAAUUUGUGAUUGUUUUUUUUUAUGAUAUCUUGGUUUAUAGCUCCUCCAUGGCCGAGCAUUUGCUUCAUCUUGAGCAAGUAUUAGCUUGUUUACAUCUUCAUCAAUUUUUUAUUAAAUUAUCCAAAUGUUUGUUUUGCCAGGCCACUAUUGAGUAUCUAGGCCAUAUUGUUUCAGCCUCGGGAGUACAAGCCGACCCCCAAAAGAUUGAUGCCAUGCUUAACUGGCCAAGUCCACGUUCUAUCAAACAGUUGAGGGGUUUUCUUGGUCUCACUGGAUAUUAUAGGCGCUUCAUCCGUGGUUAUGCUUCCUUGGCAGCCCCCCUCACUGAUUUGCUGCGAAAGGAUGCCUUUCAAUGGAAUUUGACAGCCAUGGAGGCCUUUGAAGCUCUUAAACAAGCAAUGGUGCAAGCUCCAGUCCUUAAGUUGCCGAAUUUUGCUUCCGAAUUCGUCAUUGAGACCGAUGCUUCUAAUGUAGGCAUAUGAGCCGUACUUACACAACAUGGGCAUCCGAUUGCUUAUUUCAGCAAGAAGUUGGGUCCCAAAUUGCGGGCUUCUUCCACUUACAUCAAGGAGUUGCAUGCAGUUGUAGAACCUGUGUAUAAGUGGCGGCAGUAUUUGUUGGGCCGAUUCUUUGUUAUCCGCACGGAUCAUAAGAGUAUUAAAGAACUCCUUCAACAAGUGAUACAAACACCAGAUCAGCAAGUUUAUCUCCGUAAAUUAUUGGGUUUCCAAUUCCGAAUUGAGUACAGACCAGGCCGUACCAAUAGCGCUGCUGAUGCUCUAUCCCGUGUCCAUGAAUCAGCUCCUGAGGAUAACAUCAACAUCUCCCCCACUUGCCUUUCUUUUAACAGCCAUCCUUUAUUUGAAUUGCUGCAGUCAUUACUUAAUGAGAAUACCACAUUACCUGAUUUAAUAUCACUUCACCAGCAACUUUUACAAGGCAAACUGUCAGCUGACUUCUCCGUUCAAAACGGAUUUCUUCUCCACCGUCAGCGUUAUUACAUCAGUCCUACCUCCUCUUUAAAAGUCGUACUGUUGCAAGAAUUUCACUCUACGCCACUGGCAGGUCAUGUGGGUGUCACUAGAACCUUAAUCAGAUUAUCUUUAACAUUCUAUUGGCCCAAAAUGCGUCAUGAUGUGGAAACGUUUAUCCGAGAGUGUUUAAUAUGCCAGCAAACUAAGUAUUCCACUUAAGCCCCUGCUGGUCUUCUUCAACCAUUGCCGAUACCUAAUAUGGUUUGGGAUGAGGUCACAAUGGAUUUCGUUACAGGUCUUCCGUUAGCACAAGGUUUCUCGGUCAUAUUGGUUGUUGUCGAUCGUCUUACAAAGUUUGCCCAUUUUGGUCCGUUACCCUGUCAAUUUACUGCCCUCAAGAUAGCUGAACUCUUUGUGGACAUGGUCAUUAAAAUACAUGGUUUUCCAAUUUCAAUUAUCUCCGAUCGAGACCCAGUGUUCUUGAGCAAUUUUUGGAAACAAUUAUUCCUCUUAAGUGGCACAACUCUUCGUCAUAGCACGGCAUACCACCCUCAAACGGAUGGUCAAACGGAAGUGGUGAAUCGAGGAUUGGAGCAAUAUUUAUGAGCUUUCACUCAAGCCAAACCACAGAAGCGGGUUUCCUUACGGAGUUGGGCAGAAUUUAGUUAUAAUUCUCAUUUCCACAGUGGCUUGAAGAUGUCGCCCUAUCAAGCUUUAUUUGGCCGAUUGCCUCCAACUAUUCCUCAUUAUGCUAAGGGCUCUACUUCAAUCCAAGCUUUGGAGGACAUUCUCCUUGAACGUAAUACUCUUCUCCAGUCUUUAAAAGCUAAUUUGAGGCAGGCACAACAUCGAAUGGCUCAGAAAGCUAAUGCCCAUCGCCGUGAAGCUCACUUUGAAGUAGGGGAUAAAGUGCUGGUUAAAUUACAGCCAUAUAGACAGACCACUAUAGCUUCUCGCGCCUGUCAGAAGUUGGCCAAGCGAUGCUACAGGCCAUUUACGGUACUUGCUAGAGUGGGGUCUGUAGCUUACAAAUUGGAGUUACCCAGUACUUCCAAAAUCCACUCGGUUUUUCACAUCUCUGUCCAUAAGCCUUAUCAUGGCAACGACCCUGCUAUUUCACAUCCUUUACCAGAGUUGAGUGUGGAUAACCAUCCUCUUUUGCUACCGGCUGCCAUUUGUGCAACCCGAAUAGUGUUGCAACAGGGGAAGCCAACGCCUCAAGUGUUAGUUCAAUGGACCGACAGUUCACCGGAGAAUUCGUCUUGGGAAAACUUUGACGCCUUUUGUAAGCUCUAUCUAGCAUUUCACCUUGAGGACAAGGUGUGUUUUCCAGAGGGAGGGAAUGAUACGGAUUUAUAUAUCAAAUUGGAGCCAUCAGAGGAGGCGUAAGUGGAAGAGCUCAACCAAGAACCCACAGUCAGUCAACCCAAAGAGGACAUUCACCAUGAGCCAGUGCAAGAGAAUCAACGGCCCAAACGAAACAAGAAACUUCCAGACUGGCUACGAGACUACGUCGUUUAGGAUGAUUUGUAAAAGCAUUGUGAUUGGCUGCGUUUGUUUUGGAUUCUUUUUUGUCAUUUUCUGUUGCGUUGUCAAAUUGGUUAUUUUCGAUUGUCUGUUAUAUAUUGCGGGAUUUUGUCAUUUUGGGAAGGCAUGAAAUGAAUGGACCACUUUUCUUCCUCUCUGUGACUCUUCUUCUUUUCUUCUUUCUCAUUUCUCAACUUCCAGUUCUUUCCUCUGGAGCAAACACUCGCUCGAAGUAGUGAUAAUUUUGAUAUUGCUCAGUUUCACGAAUUAAGAGCGUAUCAGACACUUCGAAGUCUUUGUUGAGACAAAAAUUAGAUAGAAAACACUUUAUGGUGUCAUUAUUAUUUAGGCUGCUGCGUACUAUCGAAUCAAUCAUAGAGAAUAGAUGUUUACAUGAAAUUAGAUAAAUAAUUAGAGGUUGAAGUUAUUGGAUAAAAAGGAAAAAAAACUUACAUCAAAUUCGAUCCACGCUAAUCAAAUUCCAUAUGGAUAUAGUUGAAUGCCAUACUGCUCCUUAUCCUCGAAUUCCCGUAGCUGUUGUCUCAGCUCCGGCUCAGGCCACCACAACUCCAAUUUGUUUAAGCUCUUUAGGCACCAAAGCUGUUCAGGAAUCCUUUUCAAGUGAGCACAAGGGUUGAUGAUCAAGCAUUCUAGUUUCGGCAUGGCUCUAAUCCCCAUAGUCCAUUCCUCUAGCCAUAGCAUUGAUUUAAGGUGCAGCACCUUGAGUUUUGGAAAGCCAUCAGAGCUACAAGCCAGCUUUCUACCUGAAUACGAGUUUUGCUUCAGUUUGAGCACCUGAAGAACCGGCAGCUUUUCUUGUGCCGACAUGGGAUAAUCCAUUAGCUCAAUAUUUGAAAAACUCAAGUGGGUUAGACUCGGAGGAAAUUGGUAUUCAGCAAGGAUGAUAUUUGAUCGCCGUGGAAUCUUGCUUUCAUUCGCCAACUUCAAUGACUCGAGGCAGCUCAAUCUAUAGAGACUUUUGGACAUCAAAGAUUGAUAAUAACUUAAAUCUCCCCAUAUCCGGAGAUUUCGAAGAUUAGGUAGUCUGCCUAAUAUAUCUUCAGUACAGCAUUAAUGAUGCAAUGCUGAAAUGAAAUCGAAAUUUUCCAGAGAGCCGCAAUAUUUUCCUGGAUGUGCAAGAAGUGUGAUUGAGCCAAAAUUUAGAUACCUCAGUUUGCUCAUCUUCCAAAAUUCAUCUGCUGUAUGAUCUAUGUAGCUAAAGGGCAUGUCUAGGGUGUAUAGGUUCAAAAGACUGUUUAAUAACGAUGAAGGCAGGCUUUUCAGGGAAGGGAUAUUCAAGUUCAGAUAUCUCAAAAGAAAUAAAUUUUUUAUUUCGGAAGGAUAUCAGAUGCGAACAAGAGAUCCCAAGUUCAAUACUCUGAGAAAUUUGAACAUUUUACAGAUUUUCUCGCAAUAAGUGGGGUCAAGGUAGUGGCUUCCUGAAGUGAGGUGCAACAAAGAAUAGAGGAACGAGUCAAAAUGAUCUAAAAAUGCAAAAUCAUUCAAAUUUCCAUGAGCGGUGAAGCGUUUCACAUUUUCCCGUAAUUUAACUUCCUGAUCCAUAAUUGGGGAAAUGACAAAUUCCCCCUCGAAAGCCACAGUCAACAACGCAGGACUGCAACGCCCAGGAAUAGAGCAUGUGUUGAUUCUGCCUCUGUCACUUCUCUUCCCUGCAUCAACAAAGCCUCCAUUGAUUAGCUGUUCUAAGUAUCUCUCAGCAGUUGCCUCGUUGUUGACUGGAAUGAAAUCUUCAGCUAUCCACAACUAACAUAAUUGCUUGGUGGAUAUCUCAAAAGUGUGCGGGAAACACAGAUAAGUAGAGACAACAAAGUUUCAAGUAAAAAGGUAACAUACAAUAUGCAACGACUUGAAUCCCUCGGGGUUCAUCAAGUGCUUUCUCUAUAUUUUCUUUCAGUGAGAUGCUUCCAUGAUAUAAGAUGUGGAAAGGCCAUCCUUGGUAUGUAACUCUCAAUGGUCCUCCAGUGGGCACAAAUCAAGCCCAAUGUUCUCUCCAUUUUCGAACUGAAAUGAGGCGACGAUUUCAAUGUCAGAAAAAAUAAUCACAGUGAGUUAAACAAAUAAACCAGUAGGUAAUUUGACUGCAGCAAAACAGCAACUGAAGAAAAUAAACUCGAGGCCUAUAAUACAGUGUCCUUAAAACAGAUUUAUCACCUAUUGAAGUGCUUUAGGUUUCUUGAUAACUGUUUCCCAGGAUACAACGGGCACGAAUUUUCUUUCAAGCACAGACAGAUAAUUCCCGCGAACCACAACAACGGUAAACUCGAUCAGAAAACAAGACAAAAGAAGGAGGAAAGAAAAAUUGUAAGUGUUCUGUGUGCUGGUUUCAGUGUGUGUAAAAACAGAAGAGGAAGGUGCCUUUUUAUACUCAUGUGGGUACGUAACAAUAGCAUAAAAAUUGAAUUUCGGAAUUCAAUAUAUGCAAUUUAAUUGCUGUAACAGCCAUUGAAUUUUAAACAAUUCAAUUCAAAAAUUGAAUUGCAUAACAGCCCAAAAUAAUUGCGAAGCUGUUACAAAUCUUUUGAAUUCAAAAGGUGUGAAACUGUUACAACAAAUUUAAAAGGAAAUAAAAAACGUGCCAUGCGAGCUUGGGCUGACAUUCGCGGGCACACACGAGUUCAACCAAAUCAGUCAUGAAUUCGCCCCCCCCCCCCCCCGGUGCACGCGUGUGGGGAGAGAGCCUCUAUCCUUAAAAUUCUUGUUCAUGCAUGGUUAAGUAUUUAUAUAUAAAUACUAAUCCCUUGGCUUCUUCAAUGAGGAUAACAAAGCCUCCAUUAAUUAGCUGUUCUAAGUAUUUCUCAGUAGUUGCCUCAUUUUUUUCUGGAAUGAAACCUUCGGCUAUCCACAAUUGAUAUAAUUGCUUGGUGGAUAUCUCAAAGUGUACGGGAAACAUAGAUAAGUAGAGACAACAAAGUUUCAAGUAAAAAGGUCACGUACAAUAUGCAACGACUUGAAGCCCCCGGGGUUCAUCAAGUGCUUCCUCUAUAUUUUCUUUUAGUGAUAUGCUUUCAUGAUAUAAGAUGUGGAAAGGCCAUCCUUGGUAUGUAACUCUCAAUGGUCCUCCAGUGGGCACAAAAUCAAGCCCAAUGUUCUCUCCAUUUUCGAACUGAAAUGAGGCGACGAUCUCAAUUCGACUGAGUGUUAUGAAUACUCUACUUCCAUUCUGAUUAUCGGGAAGUAUUUCUCGAAUAACAUCCCAUACUGAUAUUCUCCACACAUUAUCAAGCACAAUCAAAUAAUGCUUGGUCAUUAGAUAUUCAUGAAGAAUAAUUUUUUUCAUUUCCGAACUUUCUUCCAUAAUUUCACUCAACCUACAUGAAGGCAUCACAAACUUAAUAAUGCCGUAUAAUAUUUGGUCAGCAUCAUAUGGUAAAGAAUCUUCAACUCAAGCGUGACAAUCAAAAUAAUGCUUCACAUAGUUGCUGCUGUAAGCCUCUGCAGCGAAAAUUGUCUUGUCCAAUCCAAUGCUAUCAAGUACGGCCACUACCGAAAGUUGAGGCGGUCCUUCUAUCAGUAGAUCUAAUAACUCCUCCAUUCUAUUAUCUAGACUCACCGUGUCUCUAUUCUUAAAAGAUGAGGAUGCAGGAAAAUUACGGGCUUUUGCUUCAAACGAUUUGAGCUCAUCAACGAUUCCGGAGUGGAUGUCCUGAACUUGCUCCAUCUGUUGUUUUAUAUCAAUGAUUUUGCUUUGGAGUCCUAGCAGGGCAUCACAAAUGUCCUUGCUGCAUCCGCUUUGACUCGUCUGUUGAGUGAUGUUGAUAGCAAAUGUGUCAAUCACAUUCUCAGAUACGUAUGAAAAGCAAUGAAUUUUGUCAACGAUAGCCUUAUAAUCUUCUAAUUCUGCAAGAGUUUGACCCUCUUCUGCAUUGACUUGCUACAUAAACCAAGCAGUGUUGUAUCCAGAGUCCCUCAGCUAAGAACCAACGAUUUUAAUCUCAGUGUAAAGGUUCUGAAUAGGUUGUUCAGCAGCAUCAGGCGCCGUGAAUUCUUCACUAGCUAGCACCCUUCUCAGUCUCUCUGAAAAUAGUCCAAGGUUGAUGUCUAUAUCUCCUUCACUCUCAGUAGUCAGUAGCCAACAGCCCUAGCAUGGAAAGAAAAUAAUUAUAAAAAAAAUGGCUAAAAGCUCUCCUUUUACUUCAACAUUAGUCAACAUAAUCAACUGAGGAUGGCACCAAUACCUUAUUCUCUCAAGAAGUUGAAUCAAGUUCAGGUGGCUGUCAAAGUAGAACAGAUUAAGGCAGAGCAGUACUGGAAAAUGAAUCUUAAAACUAAAUGCUGCAGGUGCCGUGGGGAUACUGAUUGAUAAGAGGAAUUAUAUUGAGAAAUUAUUGAUGUACAAUAAUGAUUUUCUGCGAAAACCUGAGGUAUAAUGUACAUGUAUAUAAAAUAUUCUUUAUGCUAGAAGAUAAAAGGGUGUCUUAUAAUUUGUGUUUUAUAUAUAUGUGUAUGAAGAAAGUAAAAUAGGCUAUCAAGACUAGUUUCUUUUUUGCCCUCUCAAAAGACUGAAAGAUUAAAAAUAAUUCCGCUGGGACCAUAAAGCUUGCCUAGAGAGAAAAAGCAUCACCUUAGAAUCUGAUUCAUUGAUGCAUCAAAUGCAUAAUAGUCGCCAUUGUUUAGAGAUUUUCUUUUCAAGCGCUUUACAGACUACAACAGAAUACGUAGGGAUGGCAAAACAUCGGGUCGGGCUCGGGCUUGGCCAAACCCAACCCGACCCGAUCAAUAAAGAACUAAAGCCCGACCCUAAAAAAAGCCCUAUCUAUUUAUAGUUAGGGUCGGGUCGGGUCCGACCCGAAUCGGGCCAACAUCGGGUCGGGCUAAGCCCGACCCUACCAAAACCAUUUUCCAAAUGCUGAAAUGUAGCUGCAAGCCUGCAACUUGCAUUUCCAGAUUGCUUAAGCUGCUCGUGUGCUGUCCAAGGCUCCAAGCUGCUCAUGUGAUGUCCACAUGCCUCAAUUAAUUAACCACCAAAGCACUAAAAUGCUAUGCCGUUUUGAUGCUUAUGGAAAUUCCACAAUGGAAUCAAUUUGAAGGUCACACGAGAAGCACAUGACUAACUUAAACAUGAAUAACAAUAAGGCUGAUAUGCAACCACAAUUCAAUUCUCAAUUCCACAAUCAUUUCCAAAACCAUUUUACACACAAAUCAAUUCCAAAAUCCAACAUGAAAAAUACAUAAUACAAUUAAAUUAAAAACACACAAUGUAAUUUUUCAACAAUUCUAACCAAAUCAAUUCCAUAACCCAACAUAAAAAAAAAAGUCUUAUACAAUAAUACAAAUAAAAACUCAUAAUUCAAUUCCACAACCAAACUUUUUUUUUUUAAAAAGAACUACUCCAACACUUGCGGGCCACUUUCAUCUUCAUCCACAAAUUCCUCUCCAUUAAAAGUUUCACUUUCGAGAAUUUUACCUACAAAAAAAAAAAGAAAAUGAGAAAAUAAUUCAAGUGUAUAAAAUUAUUACUAAACCAAUUAUUUUGUACAUUAUUUAUAUUCAUACCUUUGGAGUUUGCCCAUAGCCAAUGUUGAGUGCACAUAAGCGCUUCCAAUGUCAUAGGAUGAAGUCUACUUCGAUGUGGAGUCAAGACUCUACCUCCAGUGCUAAAUGUCGAUUCAGAGGCAACGGUUUUCACGGGAAUGGCUAAGAUAUCCUUGGCCAUUUGAGCCAAAAUAGGGUAUUUGCCUUGGUUCACAUUCCACCAAUUCAGAAUAUCAAAGUCCGAAGUGGAUUUGAUUAAAGGCUCUUCUAAAUACCUCUCAAGGUCGGACUUCGAUACAAUGGUCUCACUAUUUUGGGUUGCAAAUGCCUCAAACUUCUUUAUAUCAAAAAAUUUACGGCCAGUUCCUAAAUUAAAAUUAAAACGAACAUCGGCCGAAGAAGAUUCACCAACAACCGCAUCACUCACAUUCCCACUUUUAAUUUCAUAAAACUUGACCAAAUCGUUACUUAAAUUGCGCACCCUUUGAAUCUCAUUUGCAGCACCCUCACCAUAAAGUUGUGGAAAAUAAUAAUUAACCAAUUGCAUCUUAAACCUCGGAUCAAGAAUAACUGCCAUCACCAAAAUCCCAUGAAUUUGGGCCCAAUAUUUAUCAAAUUUCAUAAUCAUUUGACCAGCCAUUUCUCUAACCACAGGCACACUAUAAAGAUCCCAUUCAUCCAAAUUAAUCCUCAUUUCACAUAUCAUUGGAAAAAAAAGAUUAGAUGUAGGAUAUUGUGUACCUGAAAAUAACUCUGUCAUAGAGUAAAACGGCAGUAAAUAUUCCAACAUCUUUUCAGCCAUCUCCCAUUCCUCAUCUGUUGGCAAAGAGGUGUAGUGUUUAUCGCGCUGCUGCAGUCUAGAAAAGACUAUUUUAUAUUUCACAGCAACAUCAAGCAUAACAUAUGUAGAAUUCCAUCUAGUUACACAAUCAAGUACCAACUUUUUCUCACACUUAACUUGUAAUUGCCGCGCAGCCAUUUCAAAAGUUUCUACCCUCUUUGGUGUGCCUGUCCAAUAAGCCACACUAUCCUAAUCUUUUUAAUCCACUCCUCAAUCACUUUCAUCCCAUCCUUCACAAUUAGGUUUAAAAUAUGAGCCACACACCUCAUAUGAAAAAAAUUCCCACCCAUUAACAUAGAAUCAGCUGGAAUCAAUCCCAUCAAUCUAUCAACCAUAGCAUCAUUGGUGGAACAAUUAUCUAAAGUUACAACUGAUAUCCUUCUAUCCACAUUCCAAUCCAACAUAAAUUUGAAAAAUGCUUCAGAAAGAAAUUCAACGGUAUGUGGAGCCGGCAAAUAUAUAAACCUAUUCAUUACCAAAAAAUUAAAUUUUAGAAUUAAUUAAAUUGAAUUAAAAAUAAGUAAACAUAAUAUCGAUUUUGCAAAUAUAUGAACCUAUUCAUCACCAAAAAAUUAAAUUUUAGAAUUAAUUAAAUUGAAUUAGAAAUAAGUAAACAUAAUAUCGAUUUUGCAAAUAUAUGAAUCUAUUCAUCACCAAAAAUUUAAAUUUUAGAAUUAAUUAAAUUGAAUUUAAAUAAAUAUCAAGUAACAAGAAAAGUACCUUAAAAUUCGACUUUGUAACCGCCAAGACUUGUCCACAAAAUGUCCCGUAACAACCAUGUAACCCUUCUUUUGAUUACUCGCAGUCCACAUGUCUGUAGUAAUUGCCACCCUACUAUCAUUAUUCUCCAACAAAGCCAUUGCUUUUGCCUUUUCAGCUUGAUACAAUUUAAAAAUCUCACUCUUUAAAGUGUUUCUACUCAAAUUCUUCACCAAAGGGUUGGCAUAAGACAUCAAAUCCCUAAAUGCCUCAUAUUCCACAAAAUUAAGUGGCAGCUCAUGCUUUACAACCAAGGUUGCUAUCUUUUGCCGAGCAACAAUUGGAUCAAAUUCUCUCGUCUCAAUACAACUUGUUCCAUCAUCUUUCCUCAUCACGCUAAGAGUUUUUUGUAAGCAAUCAAGAACUAAGGGAACACCCUUUGCCUUACAUGAUUUUUUCAAAUGUCUAUCCAAAUGUGAGGUUCCAUUAUGACCGGAUGCUACCAACUUAGCUUGACAAUGAUUACAUUUCGCCUUCAAUUCACCAUUAAUGGUUACCUUGGUGAAGUGUCCCCAAACAUAAGAAGGUUCCCGCAUACCUCGCUUUUUUUUAUUACUACUUUGUUCUACCCCAUCAUCAUCACGGGAUGUCUCUUCAACUCCUUCAACUUCUUGGACCCCUUCAAGAGGAAUGUCAUCAUUUGUAUCCUCUUCGCCAACAUGAGAAUUCUCAAGUGAAUUUGACAUAAUGACCUAAAUUAAAUGUGUAACAAGUUGCAAUUAAAAUAUAAUAUUUAUGGUAACUACAUAAUCAUUAUGAAUAUAACAAGUUUUAUUGGCCAUUGUGUGUGUGUGUGUGUGUUUGAAUGUCUAGAUAAAUAAAUUAAAUUGAGCUGUAUGUGAAAUUUAUUAUAUUUAUAACAAUUGACUAGUUCACAUGAUGCAGUAAGAAAAUUUUUGUAAACUAGUUAAAAUUUUAGCUGAAGACGUCUUUGAAUCUUCAAGAAACAAAGGGGUAAGAGCAUGUAAAAGUACCAUGACUUUGAAGUAAAAAUGCAGCAACAAGCCCCAAGUAAAAGAAAAGAAAAUUCAUGAGUACAAAGAAAUCAAUUUACAACAUACAGCGGGACAAAAUUAUUAAAUUCGUGAGUACAAAGAAAUCAAUCCCUAAGCUGGUAUAGCAUCCACUGGACUACUCUUUUUAAUCGUUAAUUAAUAUAUAGUUACUGAUCUAUAACAAAUUCUUUCCAUCACCACAAAAAUAAAAUAAAAAUUCAAUCUAGCGGAAUGCAUCUAAUGACAAAAAUUCAUGUAAUUACAACUUAAAAAGCAGUGAAUUGGAUUAUAAUUACAAUUUAUAAUUACAACUUAAAAAGUUCAACAUGACCGAUCGAGGCUGCAGGCUGCUGGUUUUAUGGGUAAUUACAUAACAAAUUGGUCGGAAAUAAUUACAGAACAAAUUGCCAAUUCAUGAGUUCAAUUCACUCACCUAGCGGCGUCGCGGAUGGUCACAAUGGCGGGUCACGAUGGAGAGAAACGCAACAGUGAGAUGCGACAGCGAGACACGACGGUGAGACAACACAACAGUGAGACGCGGCUGAUUGGCUGGCGUGCGUCGACAGUCACGAUGCUGCUGGCUGAUUCGGUGGCGGGCUGGGUGGCUGGCUUAGUGGCUUAGGGUUUUUGAGAAUUUGAGAGCUGUGCCGUGCCGUACUGUGUUGUGUGAUUGUGUCUUGUGUGAUGCAGCUGUUUGUGAUGUGAGCGUGCAGCGUGUGUGAUUUUUUUUUUUUUUUUGCAAAUAGGGUCGGGUCGGGUCGGGUUGGCUUUAAGCCUGACCCUGACCCUAAAUUUGUUCGGGCCUAAAAAUUGUGGCCCGAACCCGACCCGAAACCCGAAAAUUCAGGCCAAAGCCCUAAUAAUUAGGGUCGGGUCAAUCGGGUUAAAAUUAGGGCCGAGCUAAAUUGCCAAGCCUAAGAAUACGUUAUAGUUUGAAUGGUUAGAUGAUCAUUCCUGUUGAUACUGAAAUCUGCUCGCCCUUUGCCCAACCAGAUCUUUUCACCAACGUUUAUAUGAUCAACAGACAAAAUGUCACAUUCUUUCUAUUUCAACGGUUUCUUGAGUUCCUGGGAUUGGAAUCACCAUUUUUUCUUCUCCUAAGCAUGCGUUCACAAGAAUGGAUCAGAGACGCCGGUGGUUUUAUCGGCGUAAACCCUCCGAUGCUUAAGUUAGCACAAGGUGUUUACGGGAAAACUAUGUAAUUUAGAUUGUGUGAUUUCUUGUAAUGCUCUCAAAAAUUUGUAUAGAAUGUAACUUGGUUUCAAUUUGGUAGAGUUUUUCCUUUUUCUCUCAAUUUUUUCUCCCCAUUUUUCAUCAGUUUCCUGACUUCUUAUAGCUGUUGUCCCACGUUUCUGCGUACUCUUUAUGCCCCCAUUUUUCGGGUGAUGGUAGACCUUCAUGGGUCUUCCACCAUUGGAUUGUGGGUAAACGUGGGAUGCCAUGUCUCUCCCAACGGUUUGGGGCAUAACGGAACUGUCGUGAUUUCCUGAGAUCGUGUGCCCUUUCUUUGGGAGAUGGGUAUCUAGUCGGUAUACGUCUCUGGUCGAUAUAUUUCUCUGGUUGAUGCUCAUCUCUAGUUGGCACAUAUUUAUAUAAGACGUUUUACCAGGACUCUUCUCGUGCCAUUCAGCUGAGGAGAUUCGCUUCGGGGUGAGAGAUGAGGGCACGUUUUAUCAGGACUCUUCUCGUGCCAUUCAGCUGAGGAGAUUCGCCUCGGGGUGGGAGAUGAGGGCAUGGCCGAGCUAGUACGUUUUAUUACUUAACACCAAUCCCAGUUUCUGGUCUUGUGAGUGAAACGAGUUGAGAUUAGAAACUGAUAAUCGGAUCUUACCGACCCCAGGAAAUACCUAUCUGGUCUUCGUGUUAUUAUGAUGGAUUUGAGGUUCCGCCUUUUGUUUAAGGAGAUUUCAGUCUGCGUAUGGGCCUUCGUGAUCGUGUCCAAUAUAUAGCUGGGCUAACAUCUCGUCAGGCCUUUUCUAACGGUCAGUGACGUGUCGCUUCUUGCCUUUUCGUAUUUGAAAUUUAAAACGACGACUUAUCUGUCCUCGAUUUACGGCAAGUGAGCUGGCAUCCGUGUAACUUAAACGCCUCCAUUUCCCCUUUCAUUUUAAAUCCCUAAAUUAAAACUGUCAUUGCGUUUCAUUAUUUGCCAUUCUACCGUAAGCCAACUCCCUCCUUGGACUUUAAUCAUACUUUCAGCGUCAGAAACCUUUGUUUGCUGGGUCCUUUCUCCGUCACAGCAAUGCUACUAGUGCCAGUCUAUUCCAAGUAUCGCCUUUAACUUCUUCUCUGGUUGUUGUUGCUUGGGUUCUGUAUUAUCCCUUUUUGUACCCCUAUACUUGGAUUUACUGUGCUUUCCCUUUUAAGAUUUCGAUAUGUCAAACCGAAAGGGAAAAAUAAUUAUAGAUGAGAGUGACGAAGAGAUAGAGGAUUCAUACCCCAACCUAUUUGGACCCAAUGAUCCCCUACGCUCUUCUCGCAGUGUAGGUCCCUCAUAUCAUAAGGAUACCCUUGAAUACCCUCGCCCCAUGACCAUUUUGCCUUCCCCUAAUUUAGAACCCGUGGGAAAUCGUGGUGGACCAGCGUCGGGCUCUGGUGAGAAUCACAGUUCUGGGGGGCUGGGGUCCUUGAGGAAGUGGGUGAAGGUGAGGAGAGUAGUUCCGAGCCGAGCAGACCCUCUAAGAAGAGGAACCUUGGUCAUAGAAUGGAGGCAGAUGCUUACCCCAUUAAUUAUAUCACCUGUGCUACUACCCACACUGACCUACUCAAGCUUAGAAACCUUUAAAAUAUCCCUGAGGAGGUUCUCCUUGUAAUCCCUGGGAAAAGUGACGUCCCCAGUCGGCCUCCCAAGGGGUAUGUGACGAUGCAUCUAGAAAGUUUCAAGCUAGGGGCUCGGUUGCCCCUUCAGCUUUAUUUUGCCAGGAUAUUGGGUGGCAUGCAUCUGGCUCCAGGUCAGCUUCACCCGAACGUGUGGAGGGUUCUUUCAGCCUUGUAUGUGCUAUGGGAAAGGUGUGGACUCGGGGAGCCUUCCCUUGUGGAAGUAAAGCACUUGUAUCAACUGAGGAGCAGCCCAAAAGAGGCUGGCUGGUACUACUUCAUGUCGAGCUCUGCAAAGAGGAAGCCUAUAAGCUAAAAUGUCGACCUCAACCGUAGGCCUUACAAAUCUAAAGUGUCGACCUCAGUUGUAGAUCUUACCAAACUAAAAUGUCGACCUCGACCGUAGAGCUCACAAAGCAAGUGUCAACCUCAACCAUAGGCUUUACAAAACUAAAAUGUCGACCUCAGUUGUAGAUCCUACCAAACUAAAAUGUCAACCUCAACCGUAGGCUUUACAAAACUAAAAUGUCGACCUCAAAUGUAGAGCUCACAAAGCAAAAGUGUCAACCUCAACCAUAAAUCUUACUAAGCUAAAAUGUUGACCUCAGUUUUAGAUCCUACCAAGCUAAAAUGUCAACCUCAACCGUAAAGCUCACAAAGCAACUAUCGACCUCAACCGUAGGCUUUGCAAAACUAAAAUGUCGACCUCAAAUGUAGAUCUUACAAAGCAAGUGUGGACUUCAACCGUAGGCUUUACAAAACUAAAAUGUCGACCUCAAUUGUAGAGCUCACAACGCAAAAGUGUCGACCUCAAUUGUAGACCUUACAAAACUAAAUUGUCGACCUCAACCAUAGGCCUUACAAAUCUAAAGUGUCAACCUUAAUAAAUUGAAAAUUGUAGAACUUAAAUGUUAUGGCUAUGGUCGACCUCAACAAGUUUUCACGUUGGACCUCAACAAGGCCAAAAUGUUGAUCUCAAUCUCAAUAAGCUUGGAUAAAUUUUUCAUGUUCGACCUCAACAAGGCCUAAAUGUCGAAACUCAAUCUCAAUAAGAUUUGAUAAAAAAUUUCACGUUGGACCUCAAUAAGGCCAAAAUGUCUAUCUCAUUCUCAAUAAGAUUAGAUAAAUUUUCACAUUCAGCCUCAACAAGGCCUAAAUUUCGAUCUCAAUCUCAAUAAGAUUUGAUAAAAAAAUUUUCGUUGGACCUCAAUAAGGCCCAAAUAUGCCGAUCUCAAAUAAGACCGGUCACAAGUAGGUAAGAAAUAGAGUUGCACUUCUGAAUAACCUCAUUGAUAUUAAUAUGGCAGAAAUUAAAGAAUUGAACACAUAACGAAUUGAAAUAACAAAGAAACAAACUAUCAUAACAUAUUUAAAGAAAACAAACAAACAAGAACAUCAUAAAUAAGAUUGGCCUACUGAUAGUAUUUUCGUAGGUGCUCUGCAUUCAAUGCCUUGCCGAUGACCCUGCCAUCCGGAUAACCUAACUUAUAUGUGCCAUUACCAAAUGAAUGUAGUACUUUGUAUAGUCCUUACCAGCUCGGCCCCAGAACUUCAUCAGCUGGCUUUUUAGUUGAUUGAUUGACUUUGCGGAGCACCAGGUCCCCCUCCUGAAAUUGUUGUAGCCUGACAUUCUUGUUGUAGAACUUAGCCACUUUUUACUGGUAAAUUACUGCUCGACCUCUUGCCGUCUUUCUCUUCUCAUCAAACAAAUCUAAAUCCAACAACAUAUGUUCCCUGUUUACUAUCUCAUCAUAAUAUUUUGUGCGGUGUGUCUCCAUGCCAACCUCAGUUGGGAUUACUGCCUCAUGUCCGAAAGCAAGCAAGAAUGGAGUCUCCUCCGUUAAAGUCUUCACGGUCAUUCUAUAGGCCCACAGUACUCCUGGAAGCUCAUCCACCCAAGCUCCCUUCUUCUCACCCAACCUUUUCUUCAACAAUUGCUUUAUAGUUUUGUUCGUCGCUUCCACUUCUCUGUUUGCCUUCGGAUGAGUAGGUGAGCUAAAUCAAAGUUCAAUAUCAAGCUGACCACAAAACUUCUUGAAAUUCUCAUUAUUGAAUUGGGUUCCAUUAUCAGUGAUAAUAGCUUGUGGUAGGCCAUUUUUGCAAAUCAUAUUCCUCCAUAUGAAAUAUGUUGUGCGCUUCUCGGUUAUCUUUUGUAAUUGUUCAACUUCAAUCCACUUAGUAAAAUAAUCAAUGGCUACCACCGCGUAUUUCAUUUGGCCUCUCUCGGUUGGCAUUGGUCUGAUAAGAUCCACCCCCCAUUGUGCAAAUGGCCAAGUGCUCCCCAUUGUCAUCAUGUUUUCUGGUGGUCGUCUUACAAUUAUGGCGAACUUUUGGCAUUCAUCACAUCUCUGAACUAACUCUUGUGCAUCUUCAUGCAUGGUCGGCCAAAAAUAACCAUACCUUAUUAUUUUAUGGGCCAAUGCCCUACCUCCGCUAUGAUUUCCAUAAAUUCCCUCGUGCACCUCUCUCAUCACAUUGUUGGCAUCAGCUGAGCCCAAACAUCACAGGUAAGGUAAAGUGUAACUUCUCUUAUAAAGCACACCUUCGAUAAUGGUGCAUCGUGUUGCCUGGCAUCGCAGCCUUCUUACCUCUGCUUUAUCUUGAGGUUGUUCCCCAAAUUCAAUAUACCUCAUGAUAGGCACCAUCUAGUUCUUCUCAUCUUUUACCAUACAAACUUUCAUUUUGGAAUCAGCUAUACAUGGCUUUGAAACUGACUCCAAUAGAAUUCCUCGUGGGAACUUUGGGCAUUCUAUAGCUGCUAGUCUUGCUAUAUAAUCUGUUCGGUAAUUCUUUCCCCUCAGAACUUGCUCCAUUGUAGCGUGAUCAAAACUACCCCAUAGCUACAGUGCUUUGCUCAGAUACUUGGACAUGUUCUCACUUUUGGCUUGAAAUGUCUCAUUCAGGUAGUUCACUACCAGUUGAGAGUCAAUCUUCACCUUCAAAUGUCGAACUCCCAAUGCUCUUGCUAAUUUUAGACCCGCAAUGAGAGCUUCGCAUUCUGCUUCAUUGUUUGUAGGAUGUAAUUCAUACUUGAGAGCGUAGCAUACUUCUUCCUAGUCGGGCGAAACAAGAACAAUUCCCCCGCCUGACCCUUCUGGGUUUGCAGCUCCACCUACAUUAAGCUCCCAUACAUCAUUAUUCUUCUCUGCCUCUUUAAUCUCCUGCUCGGCAUCCAUCUCUUCACUCUCUUCACUGUAAUCAUUAAUGAAGUUGACCAAAGUUUGUGCUUUAAUUGUUGACCUCGAUCGGUAACUGAUGUCGAAUUCACUUAGUUCUACCGACUACUUAACUAGUCUUCCUGAAAUGUCCGGUUUGUGCAAAAUUUGUCUCAAAGGUUGAUUAGUGACUACCACGAUCUCAUGAGCUUGAAAAUAUGGCCUCACCUUUCUUGCGGCUACAACUAAAGCCAUCACCCACUUUUCUACAAUAUGAUAUCUUACUUCUACCCCUGUAAGAGAUCUGCUCAUGUAGUAUACAGGUCGUUGUACUUCAUCUUUUUCUUUUACCAUGACUGAGCUAGUUGAAUAAUUUGAGACCACCAAGUAGAUCAAGAAAACAUCACCCACUAAGGGCUUCGCCAAAGUGGGUACGUUGGCCAAAUACGCCUUUAAAUGUUAAAAUGUUGUCUCACAUUCUUCCGACCACCUCAAUCUUUUUCCUUUCUUUAUCAAUUUAAAAAACAAAUGGCAUUUAUCUGAUGAUUUCAAAAUGAACCUACUCAGCGCGGUAACUUUUCCAGCUAAGCUCUGAACAUCUUUACGAUUCUUCGGCGACCUCAUCUUGAGGAUGACCUCUACUUUUUCCAGAUUAGCUUCUAUCCCCUUUUGACUAACUAGGAAGCCCAAAAAUUUCCUUGAUUCUACUUCAAAGACACACUUUGCCGGAAUCAACUUCAUCUGAUUCUUUCGUAGCACUUCAAACGUCUCACGCAAAUGCGUUGUAUGUUUGACUGGCUCAACAGACUUGGUUAUCAUGUCAUCUACAUAUACCUCCAUCGUUUUACCAAUCAAGGGCUUGAAAAACUUGUUUACCAAUAUUUGAUAAGUAGCUCCAGCAUUUUUUAAUCCGAAUGGCAUCACAUGGUAGCAAUACAAUCCUUGAUCAGUCACAAAAGCUGUCUUUUCUUCAUCUGCUGUGGACAUACGAGUCUGGUUGUAUCCUAAGAAUGCAUCCAUAAAACUCAUCAAGUCAUGCCCGACUGUUGAAUCCACUAACUAAUCAAUCUUUGAGAGAAGGAAACUAUUUUGAGGACAAACUUUGUUGAGGUCGGUAAAGUCCACACACAUCCUCCAUUUUCCAUUCGCCUUUUUAACCAUUACCACAUUCGAAACCCAUUCUAGAUAGUUCACUUCCCUUAUAAAUCCCACUUUCAACAAUUUAUCUACCUCAUCAUGGAUGGCCGCAUACCUUUCCUGGUUGAACAUUCUUCUUUUCUGCUUCACUGGCUUAUGUUUUUUUAUCUAUAGCUAACUGGUGACACAUGAUUCGUAGGUCUAUUCCCGGCAUAUCUUCAUGUCUCUAAGCAAAUAUGUCAUUAUACUCCACUAAUAAAUUCUGAAGCUCAUUGGAAAUGUCAUCUGUUAUCUUUGUUCCCACUCUUACUACUCUGCUUAGAUCAUCCUCACUUACUGGCACUUGUUUCAUUUCUUCAUUAGGUUGCUGUUGGCAUAACCUAUUUUCAGCUCGUGGAUCAAUACUUGUGAUCUGUAUGGAUUCUCUCGCAAUUGUAGUGUAACAGCUUCGAGCCACUUGUUGUUGGCCCCUCAUCACUCCAACUCCACCUUGAACUCUAAACUUCACACAUUGCAUAUGAGUUGAGCUCACUGCUCCUGCUAUCCUAUUGAACGGUUUGCCCAAAAUAACUUGAUAAGGGCUUGGCUCAUCAACUACCAAUCAUGUCACCAUCAUUGUCUUUAGUAACCUCUUAUCUUUUAUUGCAGCAUAUAUUUCUGCUCUGCUCGUGUUCAGUGGUGUGUAUCUUCCACUCUGUUCUAAUAAAUUCACCCCAUUAGCAGGUCUCGAUCCUCUCCGGUCUACAGGUGGUGGCAACCUAUUGUAAUCUCUUACUUGGUUCUCCCGUUGGUUCCUCAUAUAAUUAUUUCCUCCAUCUCGGCCUCUUCCUACUAAUGAGAUUCCUCUUCUUUCACGUUUUCCUUCCCAAUUUCGACCCGACCUUUCUAGUUGUCUAUAAUUAAACAACCCUUUGUCGUAAUGACUCCUAUCAUCUGUGUUCAUCCUCGAGCUAUACCCAAAGUUAUCUCCUCUCCUUCUCAGGUCUCCCCUUCUCACCGAACCCUCUGUCUGCAUUUCCAUUCUCCUAUUUUCUUCCUCUGCAUCUUCAAUUUUCAUAUCCAAUUUUUCUUGGUCGUGCGCCUUAGUAUAUGUUGUUAUCCUCUUACUAUAUAAGCUAUUCCACAAUCGAUUGAUUCUCAACCCCUUCUUUAAUCCCUCUAGAGCAUCCGGGUGAUCAAAGGCCCCUAGAUCGGUAGCCUCCUUAUGAUACCUGGUCACAAAACUCCUCAAACUUUCAAAUUCUCGUUGGACCAAUUUUUUCAAUCUGCUCGUAUCUUGCUCUGGUAUGCAUGAACCUCUAAAACGCACAACGAAAAGCUCACAUAACUCCUUGAAAUUUUCUAUGCUUCCCUUCUUUAAUCUUCGGUACCACUCCCGUGCUUGUCCUUCUAAGGUUAAAGGAAAAACACAACACCUUUGAAAAUUAUUCAAACCUUGGAUCCCGUUCAUCUUAUUAAACUUCUCCACGUGAUGAUUCAGGUCAGUUUUUCCUUCAUACACCAAGGCUGGAACCACAUACUUGGAUGGCAAAGUUACCACCAUCACUUUACGUACCAAGAGGGACUCGUCAUCAAGUAACAACCUUCCUAUUACUUUCUUGCCCUCUGUUUUCACCUCUAAUGCCUCUAGUGUUUUUUGAAAUUGCAGCAUUCGCUGCUCAAGCUCAUUUGCCUGGUGGGCGUCUCUCAACUCUUCCAUCUCCCUUUCUUGAUUCAAGUCAUUGAUUUUCCAUCUCAACUCAUUCACUUGUUCUCCUACACUUCUAUUCUCUUGUCGUACCCCAACUUAUGGUAGUCCCUUUCCGCUCUGCUGUUCACCACCAAGCUCUUCCAUCUCUCAUGUUCUACUACUCUCUAGGUCACUAGCUCGAACUUGAGCACCUCUGACUUGGGCAUCAACCAACCCCCUGAUCAUCUCCUCAAAUUUUGCCAUGUGCCUCUCGAUCCCUUCUCUCCAUCUCUUAUCUGUCGUGGCAUUCAUUUCCUCUGCCAAUUGGCGCAAGGUCUACCUAUUUCCAUCAUUAUCAUCCAUUGUUGUUUCGUAAUCUGAUAGCCUUCUCCUUCUAAAUCUUCAAACGUAUGGCUUUUCGUACCUUUCCUCACAGACGGCGCCAAGAUGUUGAUGCUGAAAAACGACCUCAACAGCUGAAUUUGUUUUCUUUUGGGGAAUUACAGUGCGAAUCCAAGCUCAAACGUCGGUCUGAACCCAGCUUUAUAUUCCUGACAACCAGAAAACACGGUUAGGAUACGCCGGUGGGGUCCCGGCGUAGACCCUCCGAUGCUUAAGUCAGAAAUUGUGUAUAAGAAAAAGGUAAAUGAGAAGGGAGAAUUGUGAAAAGCGAAAAUUAAGGAAUUUUUUCGGUAGAGAAAACUAAAAAUCUUGUCGGGAAUCCUAAGACUUUUAGAGAGGUGACUUAUAGAAUUUUUGGUUCAUUUUUCUAACCCCUUCCUCAGUUGCCCCUUUCAGCUUAAAUAGGCCCUUGGUCGUGGGUGGUUACCACCUUUAACUUCUGCCCACUGUCUUCAGCAGUUGCACGUGGUCAUCAGUUGGAGACGGUUUAAAUGGAUCGUGGCACACAACUUUUCGAGAAACUAGGCCACGUUAUCUCAACCGAUAGCUUUCUAUGUCAAGCUAAUUCUCGGGUCGGACAAAUAAAUUUCGAGGUCGGAUUUCUUCACUUUCAGAUCGGACCGAUGAAUUUCCUAGUUGCUCAUAUAGGCUUAAGGUUGUAUUCUUAAAUAAGGUCAUUUAUAUAAAUCUCAGGUCGUACUUGUAAAUCAGGCCGCCAACAUAGGCUCCAGGUUGUACUUACGAGGUUAGCUCGACGACAAUGAGUUCUGAGUAGAUUGGGGUCGACUAUAUUUCUAAACAUUACUAGAAAAAUCCAACCCGAACAAUGUUGACUCUUUCUAGAGGUUAUCAGAAAAAUCCAACCCGAACAUUCAUAAAUUAUUAAUCUAAACCUGCUGGUUUUGAUCCAAUUUCUUCUAUGGUUUUACUUGUUUGUUUUAGAGCUAAGUACAAGAUCAUCCAUUGAUCUUGUCUCCAUUGGUCUUGAUUGAUCUUGGGGUUUCAUUUGAUCUAUGAAACCUUGGAUUGUUUCAAAUUUUCUUCUCUGUUUCAUUGAUGAAUCCCGAUGGCUAUACAAAAUCGUCUUUCCUCUACUGCAAGCAGGGGCUUUGGGGCGACUGCAAGGAACUGGGAUGAUGGUACGUGUUCAAGCGUGCAAAUUUGCAGAGAAUGAAUUGAGCAAGUGUUGAUUGUGCCUCCAGCACUUCUCAUUUUUGCUCCAGCAAAACUCCAUGACUAGUUGUUCUAAGAACUUCUCAGCAGUUGACUCAUUAUUGUUUGGACUGAAACCUUCAGCUACCCACAAUUGAUACAAUUAAAGUUUCAAGAAAAAAAAUAAUGUGAAAUGGUAUUAAAUCCUCUUACAAUUUGAACUUAUAUGGGUUUUGAAGAAUCUUAUGAUAUAUGUGUAUUUUUAUUUAUAUACAAUCAAGAUUUAUUCAUUAUUUUAUUUCAUAUAAUAACACAUAAUUACAUAAUUGUAGUAGCUCAGAUCGGUAUAGAAUCCUAAAAUGUGGAAUAUGCAAACAUUUGAUACUCACUAGAGAUAUGCCAAGUAUCUAGCCAAUUCUUUUCUAAUGACACAAUUCCAUGGUAGAAGAUGAGAAAAGGCCGUCGGUAACUUUUAGUGGUACUCCUGCAGGCACUAACUUAAUCCCAGUGUUCUCUCCAUUUUUCAGUUGGAACGAUGUGAGCAAGUCUAUUUGAGAAAGCUAACAGUCUAAUUCAAUAAUGGGCUGAAGAUCUUUUUCUAAUUCUCCAUCAGUUUUGAUCUUUUUCAGCAUUUGAUCGCAGCAUAAUCCAAGUUGUGUUGUUUCCACAAGCACUCAGCAAAGAAGUAACGAUUUCUUAUCUCUGCGUGAAGGUUUUGAAUAUGUUGUUUAGCAACCUCGAGCAACGUGACUCCGUCCCUUCCCGUCUCAUCACGCGGUAGUCCUAGCAUGCAAAGUAAUUAAAAGACAUCAUGAUAAAAAAAUAAAAAAAUAAAUCUUUAGAUCUCUUGAUGAAUAAUGAUAGAGGAGCAACUAUCUUGUAUAAAUAAAUUUGUACAGACUGAUGUGAUAUGAAAAGAUUAAUUGUAUAAAAAUAACUUUAGCUGUUGAUGAAACUCAACUCCGAUUGACACACUAUGAGUGAUAUCUAAUUCUCUAACUAAUCCAGCAGGAAGUUGCUAUUCAAAAAAUUGAAUAAAGAUUGGUGACCAAUCAUUAUGUAAAAGGAAUAGAAAGAAAAAUUUUAUAAAAUGCAAAUUAAUUAAUGUUUAGCUUUUAGGAAAGGAGGUUAGUGCAACUUGGAAAGAUUCUAUCUAGAAACCAUCAUUUUACGAAUUAACCUGUUUGUCAAUGCAUUUCUAAAUGGAAGAUAGUUGGUCCUGGAAAAUGAGCCAAAUUGUGCUUGUGCUCAAAAUAACAUUUGCUAAAUGCUAAUGUAAUUGCUACCGAAACGCUAGCUUUCAUUUUUUUUUCUUUCUUUUUAUCUGAUUUUUCAUCAUAUGAAACGUGAGAGUGAAAUCAAAACUUGUGAAUAAGAUUCAAACAUGUACAUAUAGUGGAUCUAACAAAAUAAUGAAAUGGAAUUAUUUUGUCGAUAAUUCAAAUAAUAAAGCACCUAUUUUUUCUUAGAAUAAUCACAAACUUCAAUAUGCCGAUGAUAUAUAUCUUAUUGAGAUUAAAAACAACACAAGCAACCUAUUACGUGAAAGGAAUAGAAAAAAAAAAAAGGAUGUUGAAUUUUAUUCAACGUGGGUAUUAAUGGAUGAAUGAUUUUGGUAGAAUUGAAGUUUUUUUUUUUUAAUGCAAAGGCUAUAAGGAUCAUUUUUAAUGCAAACGGGGAUUUCUCUGCUGCAAAAGACGGCUUUGGUAUGAUUGUAAGGAAUUGAGAGUGAGCAGCACAUCCUGCGUGCCAUCAAAUUCUUUGCACUACAGGCACCCUCUGCAUGCUGUGGAGGGAAAAAUAUGAAAACCAUUACAACUGCUCUUCGUUCUCUUAAUCCAUUGGGGCUGCUAAUCAAUCAAUAGAGAAAGAAUUCAGUCAUCAAUUUUGACAAAGCUUCCAAAACGUACAACACUAGAGAUAAAAUCUUCCACUUUCAGAACUUUACUGGUUAAAUCUUCUGCUCCAAAUCACCAAGGAUUAGUGCUGGUUUUCGAUUUUACAUGGGCUGUUGGACAACCUAAAUUGAUAAGGGCUUAAUCUCCAAAUAUCUGAAGAAUAUGAAGAUUAGGCAAUAUGCUCCAGUUUCUUUUUGUUGCGUUUAAUCCUCUAACAGUACCAAGAUCAAACACCCUAGACCAUCUUUGAUUUGAUGUAUGAAGACUCAUUCUCAGAAAUCCGAACUAAAAAUUGAAUCAAAGUGCCUACAUCCAGUGAAGAACAAGGAUACAAGUUGUCAAGCUUUCACUAUUUCACAAAUCAAGGUUACCAGGAUGUAGAGCUUGUUACAGAGAACAAGAAUAUACAACUUUUUAUUUCAACUCUCUCUCUCUCUCUCUCUCCAUAGCUUUGAUGAGAUUUGAGAAGAUGGCCCAUCAACCAGCCUUAUAAACUACGAUAAAGGCUAUCUCUAACAAUCCUUGAAUUUUCCUGCACUUAUUUAACUAACCCCAACUCAAUUCUGACCAGCACUCUGACCCUUAUUAUGACCGACACGUCGGUGAAAUUCCAAAAAACCGAACAACAAUGUCGUUCUGCCAGUGUUGACAUGAUGAGAUGAGAUCACAUCACAAAUACUUUUCUUCUAACUGAAGUACUAAGCUUGAAGUUGAACUGUACCGCUACUUAAAAACUAGAGGAAGAAAUAAAAUAAAAAUAAAAACAAUAACAAUAACAUAUAUCAAUUUGAAUGUUGACAAAUUGAAUACACACAAGUGAAACUGAAAAUAGAAAGUAAAACAAUUAAUCAGACUUUUGCACAAUAUAUUAAUCCGAACAUGACAUUAUUACUUUUAGCAAGCAAAUCCUUGAAAACAAAGAAACCAAACAAAGUGUGGACAACACAGCAGCAGUGAACACUGAAAGGAUGAAGGCUGGAUUCUGGUUGAAAUUGAAACUUUGGCUGCAGUGCAGUUAAGAUAGUUUCUGCUCUGCUUUUACCUACACAUACAACUAAUUGAAGAUCGCAUCAUACAGUUUUUAAUGAAUGGUGUCAGCAUUAGGAACUGUGAUGGACACAUCGAGUUUAUGUUAAGAAUGUAGAAAACACUUUAUAGUACGAUUAUAGUUUAGGCAUUUGCGCACUAUCAAAUCUGUUGUAGAGAAGAAAACAUUUAUAUGAAAUUAGAUCAAUAAUUAAAGGUUGAAGUUAUUGGAGAAGAAGAUAAAACUUACAUCAAAUUCAAUCGGGGCUAAUCAAAUUCCGUAAGGAUAUAGCCGAACACCAUACUGCUCCUUAUCCUCGAAUUCCCGUAGCUUUGUCUCAGCUCCGGCUGCGGCCACCAACACUCGAAAUUGUUUAAGCUCUUUAUGCCCCAGAGCUGUUCAGGAAACAUUUUCAAGUAAGCACAAGGGUUGAUAAUCAAGCAUUCUAGUUUUGGCAUGACUGCAAUCCCCAUAGUCCACUCCUCUAGCCAUAGCAUUGAUUUCAGGUGCAACACCUUGAGGUUCGGAAAACCAUAAGAGCCACAAGUCAGCUUUCUACCUGAAUACGAGUUUUGCUUCAGUUUGAGCACUUGAAGAAGCGGCAGCUUUUCUAGUGCCGGCAUGGGAUCAUCCAUUAGGUCAGUAUUAGAAAAACUCACGUGGGUUAGACUAUGAGGAAAUAGGUAUUCAGCAAGGACGAUUUUGUAGAGCCGUGGCAUCUUGCUUUUAUUUUCCAGCUUCAAUGACUCGAGAUUGCUCAAUCCGCAGAGACUUUUGGAUAACAAAGAUUGAUAAUAACUAAAAUCUCCCCGUAUCUGGAGAUUUCAAAGAUUAGGUAGUCUGGCCAGUAUAUCUUCAGUACAGCAGCAAGGAUUCAAGGCUGAAAUGAAAUUGAGAUUUUCCAGAGAGCCGCAAUAUUUUCCUGGAUGCGCAGGAAGUGUGAUUGAGCCAAAAUUUAGAUGCCUGAGUUUGUUCAUAUUCCAAAAUUCAUCUGCUGUAUGAUCUAUGUAGCUAAAGGGCAUGUCUAGGGUGUAGAGGUUCAGAAGAUUGCUAAAUAAUGAUGAAGGCAGGCUUUUGAGGGAAGGGAUAUUCAACUUCAAAUAUCUCAAAAGGAAUAAAAUUUCAAUUCCGAAUGGAUACUGGAUGAGAACAAGAGAUCACAAGUCCAAUACUUUGAGAAGUUUGAACAUUCCACAAAUUUUCUCCCAAUCCAUGGGGUCAAAGUGGCGGGUUUCUGGAGAGCAGAACAACAAAGACUGCAGUUGCAAGUCAUAAUCAUCUAAGCAAGCGAAAUCACCCUCUCUUUCAACAGCGUUUAACCGUUUGAAUUUUUUUGGUGAUUUACCUUCUGGAUCCAUGAAAGGGGAAGAGAUAAAUUCCACCAUAUAAGGAACUGACAUCAACACAGGAUGGCAACAGCUACGAAUAGAGCAUGUGUUGAUAGUGCCUGCAGCUUUUCUCUUCUUUGCUUCAACAAAGCCUCCCUUGAUUAGUUGUUCUAAGUAAUUCUCAGCAGUUGCCUCACUAUUGUCUAGGAUGAAACCUUCAGCUAUCCACAACUAAUAUAACUGCCUGGUGGAUAUCUCUAGGUGUGCGGGAAACACGGAUAAGUAGAGAAAACAAAGUUUCAAGCAAAAAGGUAACUUGCAACAUGUGAAGCCUACAAUCCCAACGGGUGUAUCCAAUACUUCCUCUAUAUUUUCUUCUAAUGAGAUGCUUCCAUGAUAUAAGAUGAGGAAAGGCCAUCCUUGGUAAGUAACUCUCAAUCGUCCUCCAGUGGGCACAAAAUCAAGCCGAAUGUUCUCUCCGUUUUCGAACUGAAAUGAGGUGACCAUCUCAAUUUGAGUGAGUGUUAUUAAUACUCGACUUCCAUUCUGAUUAUCUGGAAGUAUUUCUCGAAUAACAUCCAAUACAUCAGUGCUCCACACGUCAUCAAUCACAAUCAAAUACUGCUUGGUCAUUAGAUAUUCAUGAAGAAUGAUUUUUUUCAUUUCAUAAUUUUUAUCCUCUAUUUCACUCAACCUAGAUGAAGGCAUUAGAAACUUAAUAAUGAUAUCUAAUAUUUGGUCAGCUUCAUACGGAUAAGGCUCCCGAAUCCAAGUGUGACAAUCAAAAUAAUGCUUCGCAUAACUGCUGUUGUAAGCCUCUCUGGCGAAAGCCGUCUUGUCCAACCCAAUGCUAUCAAGUAUGACCACCACUGAAAGCUGAGGUGGUCCCUCAAUCAACAGAUCUAACAACUCCACCAUUCUAUCAUCUAGACCCACCAUUUCCCGGUUUUUAGAAGAUGAAAAUAUACCGGCUUCAGCUUCAAGAGUUUUGAUGUCGUCCAUGAGGUCGGAAUCCAUGUGCUUAAGUUGUUGCAUCCGUUGCUUAAUAUCAGUGAUUCUGCUUUGGUGUCCUUGCAGAGCAUCACAAACGUCCUUGCUGUGGCUGCUUUGAAUCUUCUGUUCACUGAUGCUGUUGAUGAAUGUGUCAAUCACCUUCUCAGAUUCAUACGUAAAGCAAUUGAUUUGAUCCAUAAUGGUCCCAAGAUCUGGGUCAUCAAUUUCCUCUUUUCCUAUUUGUUGCACCAGAAGCCAGGACGUUUCAUAUUCAGAGUCCCUCAGCCAGGAAGUAACGAUUUCAAUCUCGGCGAGAAGGUUCUGAAUAGGUUGUUUUACAGCAUCAGGCAACGUGGCUUCUUCACUAGCUAACACCCUUCUCAACCUCUCUGAAAAUAGUCUGAAGUUGAUGUCCAUAUCUCCUCCUCUCUCAGAUUCACCCUGAAAUCAGUCCUGUACCAUGCAAAGAAAUAAUUAAAAGAGAGAGGGGAAAAGGAAAAUAUGCUUUAAAGCUCUCAAUUCAAACAUUAGUGCUGGCUCCCAUACCUUCCUUCUCUUCGCUAGUUCUCCAGUCAAGAAGUUGAAUCAAGAUCGUUGACUCUCAAAUUAGAACAUAUCAAGGCAGAAUCUUACAAUAAUCUCGUCUUCCAUAUGAUGAAAAAAGAAUAAAGCAGAGAAAAAUAAACAGGACAUCGUCAAGUACCGAUCAAGACCGAUUUGUUUUAUACAUCCACUUUUGAGAAAGAAAGGAAGGGAUAAAAACAAUUCCACUGGGACUAUAAAAGCUUGUCUAAAAUGAAGAGAACAGAGUAAGCACAACAGCGUUAUCAAUUAUUUAAUAAUUAAGCUGUGGAAAAAUGCAAAAUCAUGUCUGGUGGGUUAAAUUUAUUGCGAGACUUGCAUGUAUGUAUAUCACAGAUAAAAUUUUUAUCCCAGGGUUAUAAAUGUAAAAUUACUCAAAUAAAUGUGCAUUAUUAAUCAUGUACGGUGCUAUCUUAUUUCUUCAACGAGAUUUAGAGAAAGUACUAAAUCGUUUGUAAAACUACAUACAUAUCCCGCAGAAAGUUGGAGAUCUUUUUAGCAUUCUUUUUUAAGAAAUGAAAAUUGAUAAAAAGUUCUAAUGUGACAAAAAAUAAUAAUAAAUUGUGCAAUCUUACAAUGUUAACUGAAAAAUAGUUAUAAUUUUUUAUUUAACAUUUUAAAUUUUAUUUAUAGUUGUUUUGUCGCCAUUGUAUGGUUCUUUGAUUCAAAUAUCAAUAUUAUAUGAACCCUCACCAUUUUGAAAGGAUUACAUCUUAAAGCACUAUUUAUAAUUAUGUUCAUUUGAGCCCUUAGUGUUAAAAAUAUAACAAUCCAUCAAAUGAAAUCAAUGAUAAUCGAAUUCCAAGUAGGAAUCGCAGAAAAAUCCGAUCUAGGUAGAGCAUGUUUUCGAAGUACUCUGGCUGGAUUUGGACUUUGGUUAAAAAACCCGAACCCAGCUCGAAAGCUCAAAACAAUUGAAAAUUUUUUAAAUAUAUGUUAUUUUAAUUAAAAUACAACUUUUAAUAUAUUUAAUCCACUCAUAGCAUAUAUUUAAAGUUUUAAAUCAUUUGAGUCCAACUUUUAAAGCCUAGUCUAACAAAGAAGAAACUAAAUUUUAUAAACUAUAAAUUUGUAAACUAUAAUGAAAAAAGUUUUUUUUUUUAAAAUGGAAUGUAUACUUCAGACUUUUUGGCUUGGCUUGAGAGAAAAAGAAAGAAAAAAAACAUGUUUUGCCAUCCCUAAUUCCAAAGCUUUAAAGACUUCUCCAAAUGUAUAGUACAACAUUGUAUAGGACCAAUCACACGGAGAUGAUUUGAAUUUUUUAACACAAUUUUAAUGCAUAUCAGAAGAGAGGCAGCAAUCUUAGUUGAUACUUUUAUUUGACAUAUGAUGUAAGAAAUGAAGCAAAGAUUGUAACGUUACAAACUUUGCAAUUCAGCAUCCAAAAUAUCACUAGAACUUGAAAUACAAGCUUUAAUCUCUUCAACAACACGUCGAAUUGCGGCCAGGAACACAGACGCAAAGAUGGGUAUCAAGAUCACAUUCAAACGAAUGACAGGGAUUGUCACAGUCAGCAUUGCUUUUACAAGUGACUGCUUUUGAUUCCGGCUGGGCAUCAACUGUCGGCAUGGAAAUAUGAAACAACAUGCCUACAUAUAUAAAUGUCAAACAAUUAAUCAGCCUAAUGGUAGUAACACACAUGCAUAUAUAAAUGCCAACCAAUUAGUUGUCAUAUUAUAGUUAAUUAUUGAUGCAGCGGAAGUUUAAUGUUUAAAUAUUCCGUUGAUUUUAGAGAAUGCCAGAAUAAAAAAACAAUUAAAUUCACAUUGAUUUAAAAGAAUGCCGCGAAUUUAGGUGUUAAGACUCGUUGAUUCCACAGAAUAUCGAGAAUUAACUGAAUUCAAAUACUGACACAGAGUUUUGAAAACUGAAAUAUUAUUAAACUCGAAUCUCUCUACUUGUAAAAGCUGCAAAAGACACUUAUUUAUACUAACCGAGACUUAUCCUAAUUUGAUUAGAAAACAUAUUUUAAUAAGACUUAUACCUAAAUUAUGAAUAUUACCCAAAUAAGCAAUACCUAAAAAUUAAGACUCUAAAUAAGAAACCAAAUUAAAUUAGAAUACAAAUUAAUUAAAAUGUAAGGUACAAUUUUUUCACUUAAAUAUAAUAUAAUUUACUUUAAGCUAACAAGCCCCUUAAGUAUUAAAAUAAUAAUAAUAUAAAAUAUUUAAUUCUAAGUAAUGAUGACAUAAACAAUGACAUAAGUAGUGAUGAUAUAAAUAAUGACAUACGUGAUGACGUAAGAGAAGUAUAUAGAGAAAGUUAAGAAUUCUAGAAUUUAGUAAGGUAUUUAUGAAGAAUAAUCUCAACUAUUGAUCAAGAGUUAUGGUGGCAAAAUUCUAUCCAUCCAUUAACCUUAAGAAAUCCUAUAAAUACCACCUACCCCAUUUCAUUUUCAAUGCAACCUAGAAAUUUCACUCUCUUCUAUUCUAAGUUAUAACAUCAAGAGUAGAGAAAUUCUCAAUUUAGAUAGGUCUAGAGAAGUCAAUGCCAUGAGGUAAGUAACACUUCAACUACAAUGUAAGGACAAAAAAAAUUUCAUACUUAACUUUAGUUUUAACCAUUCGUUUAUGUUAUGAUGCCUAUUAUGAUAUGAUUAGUUAUAAUCUAAAUUCUUAUAUGGUCGAUUCUGCUGCUUAAUCUAUGAUACUUAGUUACAUUAUGGUCGGCUCUUAUGCCUAAGCUAUGAUACUUAAUUAUGUUAUGGUUGGUUCUACCAUCUAAUUUGUGAUACUUAUACUUAAUUAUGCUAUGGUCGGCUAUGCCGCCUAUAUUAAAGAAUCUUGUUCUUAAAUAGUGUUGUGUGUUGAUUUUGUUAUGCAUCUAGGAAUUUCAAAUGUUAUGACAUAAGUUGCAUUGGAUACAUGCAUAUCAUGGAUUACAUUAUGAAAAAGAUGUUUCAGAAAAUGAAUUUAUGAAAAAUAGGUGGUUGUACUACCAAUUAGCAAAGUUUUUAAGGAGGGUAAGCCCCCAAAGCUAAGUAAAAAAAAAUCUUUUGGGGAUGACGAUACGUAACGCCCAAAAGAUCAACUAAUAAGGCCCAAGGGCAUAUUGUUUAAAGAGUAAAAGUGUCAGCCUUGCAGUGCAACAUACCUAGAGCCCUAAUGAAAUUGUUUUGUAUUUUCUAAGUUUCUUUUAAAAGCUUAAUAUGGUCAUCCAUUUGCAUCAUAAUUUAUGCAUGCAUAAAAGUGUUAUCUUACUGGGUAUUAGCUCAUAAAGUCCUUACAUUGCAGGUAACAAUGAGUAGGGCAAGCUGGAGCCAAGUCCUAACCAAGACGAAGUACAUAUGGGCAUAGCAGACCUUGGGAUUUUAUGAUGAGCUCAGCUUUGUUUCAUUAAAAAAAAAAAUAAGCAUCUUAAUUUUAUGUAAUAAUAAAGUUUUUAUACUAAGAAGUUUCUGUAUGACUUACUUUUUGUAAGAAAGUUUUGUUUGUUGUGAAUUUUUGUUAAUCUGUAUUUAUAAAAGCACAGUAUUUAAAGCAUCUUUAAAAUGAAUAUUUAAGUGGAGUUUUAUAUAAAAUAUUCCUAAAUAUUAUAAAUUUCAAUGUAAUUAGAGUUUCUUCAAUUUCUUACUCUGCAUCAUUCCCGCCAAAAUGGAGAAAAUUUGCCCUCAAAUUUUGUAUGUUGUAGUCUUCAAGAACAUCUUCAUGUGCAUAAGGAUUAAUUUUUAAAACAGGGCUUCGAUAUAGACGAAAAACUGUAAAUUUUCCUACUUUUGCAAUAACGUCCAUCCAAUCACUCUAAUGGCGUAAAAUAAAUUCUUCUAUCAACAAUUUAUCUAAUAAUGUCUUCUCGUAUUGUUCGUGUCGAACUUCAACAUAGUUGAGGAAAAAUGAUUUCUUCACAUAAUACACUAACUGUUGAAAAAUAUCACAACUAUUUUUGUCUUCUUUUGGCAAAUCAAGAGAACAAUAAGAGAUUGUAUCAACAACUACCUCUUUUUGCUCCAGAAGAUCAAAAGAUGUAGCCACAAUAUCAAGAUACUCAUCAAAUUUCGGUAGUUGAUCCAAAUCAAUGUCUUUUUGUUGAGAAUUUGUUGUAGACACCAAUAGCUAAUUAAUAUUCUCCCCGGAGGGAAUAAUAUUGUUGAGUGAAACAAAGUUACUAUUUUCCUCAUUAUCCUUAUAACAAACAUCAUCACGAACAACUUCAUCAAAUCCAUAUGUCUGCUUUAUGUGUAAAGAUUUUCUAUCUUGAAGUAAUCUUGAGAAAUCAAAUGCAAAAUCUUCAACAUCCUAUUUAAAACUUCUUUCAAGACAAAAUCUUCACGGCGAUGUUGUCAUUUCAUGAUUCAAUUGUUUUUCUUCUUUUCCUCCUUUUUUCGGGUGUUUGUUUGGGUUUCAAUUUUUUGGCUAAGAUCAGAAAAUUAAAGAAAAAUACUGAAAUAGAAGAAAGUACUGGGCCAAGGCUGAAAUUAAGCAAAAGUUUUAGAUUUCCUGUGACGGUGGUCGGAAAUCGAGCAAGGAUGGGUGGAUUUGAAAGAUUUUGGGCUGGUGAGUAUGAUGGUGGUGGUUGUUUGUCCGAAAAAGUGGUGUUUUGGCCAGAAAUUAUAGAUAAAGUCGGCAGUUUGAGGGCUUCGAUUUCCGGCGGUGUGAGCUCGAUUGGCGGUGAUUAAUGCUAGGAAAAGUUCAGCUGAUGGAGAGGAAUGGGUUGAUGGUGGUGCUUCUGGCCAUAUUGCACCGGAAAGUGGUGAACGGACGUGGUAGAAAUCACGGCAGUUUUGGCUUUUUUUCCGGCAACCUGUGGUUAAUCUACAGUGGAAGAUGCUUGGGGUUUGAUGGUUGGCGAUUUAUGAUCCGAAUGGUAGUGGUUGCGUCCGGAUCGGUGACGGAAAACUAAAGCCAGCAGCCUUGGACGGUGGGCGCGGGUUGAAGCUUUUGCUUCCGUUUUGGUUUUUUUUUCUUCUUCUUUUUUUUUUAUAAAGCUAAAUGGAAAAAAAUAAAAAAAGGAAAGGUUUGGUGGUAGAUGGGGUUAGAUUGGUGAUAUCAGAUUUUAACUCUAAUUUUAAGCUGAUGUAAUGGAAGUUUAAUGUUUAAAUAUUUCGCUAAUUUUAUAGAAUAUCAGAAUAAAAGAAUAAUUAAAUUCACGUUGAUUCCACAGAAUACCGAGAAUUAAUUGAACUCAAAUACUCACACAAAGUUUUGAAAACUGAAAUAUUAUUAAACUCGAAUCUCUCUGCUUAUAAAAGUUAUAAAAGACACUUAUUUAUACUAACUAAAACUUAUCCUAAUUUGAUUAAAAAACUUAUUUUAAUAAGAUUUAUACCUAAAUUAAGAAUAUUGCCCAAAUAAGUAAUGCUAAAAAUUAAGACUCUAAAUAGAAAACCAAAUUAAACUAGAAUACAAAUUAAUUAAAAUAUUACUAAAUAUUAUAAAUUUCAAUGAAAUUAUGAUUUUUUUUAAUUUCUUGCUUAGCGUCAAUUAUGCAUGCAUUAAAAAGAUGAGGAAGAGAAGAUUAAGUAACAAACAUGAGGCCACCAAGAGAGUAUGAAAAAUGUGGAUUUAAGUUUAAGUUCCAUAAUGUUUAUGUUAGCAAAAGUGCAAAACAGAGAGUCUGAGGAUAAUGAUAUUAUUAAAUUUAAUAUGGGUUUGGUUUGUUUAGAUUCAUGAGUUUCUCUAGACUGAUAUGUGGGGGAAAAUUUAAUCCACUUGACAACUAAAAAAUUCAGAAAUCAAACCUCAAUUUGAAAAAUUAGAAAUUUAAACAAUUAAUUUUUUUCCAUAUGCAUGCAAAAAAUUAUAUCUAUGUAACUUGUCAUAUGCUAUAUAUAUUCUAUCAGGUGGAAGAUUUUCUAUUCAUUUGUAUCAAAUAUAUGGUAUCAAUCAAUAAAUUAUUGUUUUGUUAUAUAUACUUAUAGUAUCUUAUAGUAAACUAAGAAAUAUUAAAGAUCUUCUAGCGUGUUUUGAGUCGUAAAAUGUUUAAAAAAAAUUCAAUUCUAAAGUAUAAUUAACUAUUUUGUGUCCUAGGUAUUAUAAAAGGUCUUUGAAGUUUUUGGAUUUUUUUGACCCAUUUGUCAAUAAGUGAAACUAUUAGCACCACUUUAAACUCCUCAUAAAUCUUCUCUUCUAAAAGUACACCAUUAAAAACAUAUGUAAAUCACACUAAUUUUAAUGACACCUAUGUUAAUUUCACAAAUAACCUUAUAUAUUCUUUGUGCUUAAAAAAUCAUAUGAAAACAAAAAUCUUUUGUUACGAAACUUUUUCACCAAUUUAAUUUGAAUCUAAAAACUAGAUAAGAUACUCUAGGCCAUCUUCUUGAGUGGAGCUAUUUUAAUUCCACAAACGUCCUUGUACACUUCUUUCUCACUAACUUUACUAUGAGAGAGAGAAAAAAAAAUUAAAAAUAUAUUUCUUUUAUACUAAAAAAGGUUGCUAUAAGCUAAUCCAAUAUUAUUUUAUACUCUGAAUGUGACAAUUCGCAUGCUUUUAUAUGAACGCAUAAAUUGAUAAAAUCAAGAGAACAAGUAGCCAAAAUAGUAAGGCUCUCAUAAUUUGAAAAUAAUGAACUAAAAAUUUCAGUCCAACAGAAACCACUAAUUUAAGAAUAAAAAUAAAAUAAAAAAUAUUUUCACUAUAACAACAAAAUUAUCUUUUAUUUAAUAAAAAUAAAACCCAUGUGGGGUUAGAGGAAGAGAGAUGGAUUGUCAAACAUGAUUUGAUUAAAGUUAAAAAUAUAAAUUUACGAUAUAAGAAUUCUUUUAGAGGUAGCAAUAGCUCCACUCUUUUUUUUUUUUUUCUGUAGUUCUGCAAGUUCUAGGCGCAGGGAUUCUAUGAAAGUCUUAGAGGGUGCCGAUAACUUUCAAUAAUAUGCGUGUAGGUUAAACAAUAUUGAAUUAUUAGAUGGACCUUUCUACCUCUAUUUUACUUAUUUUGGAUGGAUGUACUUUAGAGAAUCUAUAAGAUAACCAUCCUCUUAUUUGAUCCAAUCCAAUUUAAUUGACUUACCGCUUUAUGUUAAUAUAUAAUUAUAUUUUCUUUGAAUUGUUAAUUGUUAUAAUAGUUCAGAGUUUUAUCGAGGAGAUAGCUCGAAAAUCAAACUAAUUCUUACUCAGAAGGGAGCGGAAAUAAAUUGUGAUAGAAAAUAAAUUAUUUGAGUGCUCUGCGAGUCAAAGACCCACCCUCAGAUAAACAACUAUCUUAAUAAAGCAGAGCAGCAAUGUCAUUCUUCUCGUUGGGUCUUUUCUUCAAACGUCUUCUGUACAAACAGCUCACCCGCCGUCAGAAUCUAUUUCCGCUCAUAAAACAAAAACCCAGAACCCAAUCAACAACACCCUCUUCCGUUCUGGUAAAAGUUUGCAUGAUAAUGAGUAAAUGAAAAAUAAACAGUAAUUCAAAGCUAUCCGAGGAUUUUUCUCAAUUUAUCCUUUAUGCAAUUGUUUGUUGUUUAUGGGUGUAUGAUUAUAUUUUAAAACAAAUAAAAAAAAAGUAAAGGAAAAGAAAAUUCGAUAAAGAAAAAGCGCUCAUUAUCCAAAUAAAAAAAAAAAAGGCAUCCAUCACUUUAGUUUCUAACGUGGCCAUCAGUCCUUUCUUUGUCUCUUCUUUUUAAUUUGUUACAUUAAUUUGUCAGCAUCAUUGCUGAAACUUGAUAACGAUAACUUAAUAACGAUAACGAUAACGAUAUAAACAAGAUCUUGGGCAUCGGAAACUUAAUAACGAUAUCUAAUAUUUAGUCGGCAUCGUCAGCAUCAUUGCUGUAAGGCUCUGAAAUCCAAGCGUGACAAUCAAAAUAAUGCUUCACAUAACUGCUGUUGUAAGCCUCUCUGGCGAAAGCCGUCUUGUCCAACCCAAUGCUAUCAAGUAUGGCCACCAAUGAAAACUGAGGUGGUCCCUCGAUCAAUAGAUCUAACAACUCCUCCAUUCCAUCAUCUUGACCCACGAUGUCCCUACUUUUAGAAGAUGAAGAUAUACCGGCUUCAAUUUCAAAAGUUUUGAUGCGAUCAAUGAUUUCGGAAUCCAUGUGCUUAAGUUGUUGCAUCUGUUGCUUAAUAUCAGUGAUUCUGCUUUGGAGUCCUUGCAGAGCAUCAAAAAUGUCCUUGCUACAGCUGCUUUGACUCUUAUGUUGAGCGAUGCUGUUGAUGAAUGUGUCAAUGACCUCCUCAGAUUCAUACGUAAAGCGAUUGAUUUCAUCCAUAAGGGUCCCAAUGUUCCCAAGAUCUGGGUCAUCAAUUUCCUCUUCUACUAUUUUGAGUAGCAGAAGGCAGGAGAUAUUGUUAAGAAAUUGGUGGGUGAAGUAGAAACGCAGCUACAAUGAAAUUGAAAGAAAAAUAAAGAACAAGCACAAAAAGGACACUAGGAAAUUACGUGGUUCGGCUUUUAGCCUAUGUCCACGGGCGAACACAAAAGUAAAAUAUUUUACUAGUGAAAAAGAGUUACAAGUAUUCAAGUAUUGUAGUAUUUUAACUCACUACCCAAAACCUCAAUACACUCAAACUCUCAAAUCACUAGACUCUUAAAAGCUCUCUGAAUAAAUAAAAGAGUUGAAGAACUCAAUGAUUUAUAAAUGAAGGGAGCCAGCAUUUUUAUAGCCUAAAUUGGCUACUGUUCAUUUAAUAAUUAAUUAUUAUUAUUAUUUUAUUAAUUUUUCUUUUCUUUUCCUUCUUCAGCCCGACAUCUCUUUUUCUUCUUUCUCUUUUGUUUCUUUCUUUUGUUCCAAUCAAAAAAACAGAAGUAAUACUUUCUUCUUCAAAAUGGGUGGGCCCACCUUCUAGAAGGGUGGAGCCCACAUGCCAUUUUUGUCAUUCUCCCACUUGGAGAUUAGAUUGAGAACCAAUCAAUCUCCACACCAUCCUUUCUGCUUUGCCAUUGUCAUAUUGCCUACGUUUCUACUAGGCCACAAGAGGAUCUACUUUAGACAAACUUGUCAGUAUUGAUUGGCUUGGUCAUAACAUCUCCUAGGUUCUACUUCAUAUGGAUUUUCUAUAAAUCCACAUUUCCAUCUUCCACUACUUCUCGAACAAAGUGAUACUAAACUCCUAUGUGCUUUGUCCUAGAAUGAAAAACUGGAUUCCUUGUAAUGUGCAAGGUACUCUGACUGUCACAAAACACAGAAAUUUUCUCUUGUUUGUGCCCGAGCUCCUCCGAUAACCUUUGUAUCCAAAUAGCUUCCUUGCAAGCUUGUGUAGCUACCAUGUAUUCUGCUUCUGUUGUAGAUAAAGCAACAACGGUAUGCAGUUUUGAAAUCCAACUUACAGCUGCUCUCGCAAGUGUAAACACAUAGCCAGUAGUAGAUUUCCUUUUAUCAAGGUCUCCUGAAAAAUCUAAAUCCACAUAGCCCCUGACAGUAAAUUUUGAUCCUCCAUAACAUAAUGCAACAUCGGAGGUUCCUCUGAUAUACCUCAUAAUCCUCUUCACAGUUAUCCAAUGCUCUCCACCAGGAUUCGUCAUGUAUCGACUGACUGCUCUCACUGCUUGUGCAAUGUCUGGUCUAGUACAUAUCAUAGCGAACAUCAAACUUCCCACUGCUGAUGCAUACGGUACUCAAGACAUCUUCUUUCUCUCUGCUUCAUUGCUAGGACACAUACUUGAGGAUAAUUUGAAAUUAACAGGAAGUGGGGUAAAGAUUUUCUUCAAGUAGUUCUUCUGAGAAAGCCAAAUCUUCCUGUUAUUUCUAUCUCGGUGAAUUUGCAUCCCUAGAAUUUGUUUGUUGGUCCCAAGUCCUUCAUUUCAAAUUCUUUAGCCAACUGUGCCUUCAAUUCUUGGAUUUGAUCUUUGUUGGGGCCUGCUACCAACAUGUCAUCCACAUACAACAACAAAAUAAUGAAAUCAUUAUCUUCAAACAUCUUGUAAUAUGCACAAUUGUCUGAAUUGAGUCUGUUGUAUCCAAGGCUCAUGAUGAAAGAAUCAAAUCUCUUAUACUAACACCUCGGUGCCUGUUUGAGACCGUAUAGAGAUUUGUUCAACUUGCAAACCAAGUUCUCAUUUCCCUUUUCAGCAAAACCUUCUGGUUGGAGCAUAUAAAUUUCCUCUUCAAGUUCUCCAUGAAGAAAUGCAGUUUUCACAUCCAACUGCUCAAGAUGUAAGUCAAAUGUAGCACACAUUGCCAAGACUACUCUGACUGUCGUGAGUCGAACCACCGGAGAAAAUAUCUCGUUGAAGUCAAUACCUUCUUUCUGAGCAAAUCCUUUCACCACCAAUCUCGCACGAUACCGUUCCACUUGGUCAUUGCCAUCAUGUUUGAUCUUAUAGACCCAUUUGUUUCCAAUGGCUUUUCUUUCGUGUGAUAGGGGUACAAGUUCCCAUGUCUUGUUCUUGUGUAGAGCUUCAAUUUCUUCAUACAUUGCUGUCAUCCACAAAGCAACAUUUGAGCUGUUUAAGGCUUCAUGGAAAGUUGAUGGCUCUCCAUCCUCUGUUAGAAGACAAUAUGCAACAUUGAUCUCUGUGACAUACUCCGAGUGCCACGAUGGCGGUCGUCUCUCACGAGUUGACCGACAAACUUCUAGAGCCUCGGACUCGACUGGUUCUUGUUCUUCGUGCUCUGGUGCUGCUUUAGAAGAAUCUAAAUCUUCUGGAUUAUUUUCCACAUAUACCGGCACAGUCUCUGACUUUUCUUUUACAGUGUCAUCAUCUUCAUCUUUCUUUUGCAGUUGAUCUUCUACAAAAAUAACAUCUCUGCUGAUGACGAUCUUAUGGGCAGUGGGGUCCCACAGACAAUACCCCUUUACUCCAUCAGCAUUUCCCAAGAAGAUACAUCUUUUAGAUUUUGGAUCCAGCUUUUUUCUUUCUUGGGCAUUGUACAUCACGUACACAGGACAUCCAAAUGCAUGUAGGUAGGAGUAAUCAGCUGGCUUUUCAGUCCACAUCUUCAUCGUUGUCUUCAGCCCAAUUGCUGUAGAUGGCGACCGAUUUACUAUACAACAGGCAGUUUUGGCUGCUUCUGCCCAGAUGAAUUGGGUAGACCAACAGUCCUCAACAUAGCUCUUAUCAUUUAUUUAAUAGUCAUGUUCAUCCGCUCUACCACUCCAUUUUGUUGAGGAGUGUAUGCCACUAUAAAUUGCCUCUGAAUACCUUCUUGCUUACAGAAAGCAAGAAACUCGUCGUCUGUAUACUCUCCACCAUUAUCUAUCCUCAAGCAUUUGAUCCUUUUCCUGGAUUCAAGUUCAACCCGCACUUUGUAUUCUUUAAAUACUGGAAAUACAUCUGACUUUUUCUUAAUUGAAUACACCCAACAUCUCUUGGAAUAAUCAUCAAUGAAAGUCACCAUGUACUUUGCACAUCCCAUGGACAUAUCCGGCGAUUUCCAAACAUCAGAAUGAAUCAAGUCUAUAAUGCAUUUACUUCUAACAAUAGAUCUACUGAACUUUAAUCUAUACUACUCACUUGUAACACAAUGCUCGCAAAAUGGUAAACUUACCGAUUUGAGCCUUGGAAGCAAUUUUCGCUCAAAGAGAAUCUUCAAACCUUGUUCUGACAUGUGGCCAAGUUUGAGAUGCCACAUUAUCAUUUACUCUUCUCCAUUUGAUGCGACACACACAUCAGCCUCCUGUAGUAUUUCUCCUUUAAGCAUGAAUAGAUUAGCACCGAUCUUUUCUGUCUUUAUCAAUACAAGUGUGCAUUUAACGAUCUUCAUAAUUCCAUUCUCCACAUGAGUUUUGUACCCAUGACUAUCCAUUUUUCCUAAAGACAAUAGAUUUUUCUGAAAGAAAUGCAUCCGGUACAUGUCUCAACUCCUAAUACGGGGCAGCACCCCUUGAUCAAAGGGCGCGCCGAGAGGGAACAACCUCGAGUAGGCCAUUGACAUGUCGUACCUCCCCAAUUGUGCGAAUUAUACCAUCAAACAUUUUCAUUUUGAUAGUACCAAUACCAGCAAUCUCCAAGGCAUGAUCAUCUCCCAUAUAUACAGAUCCUCUUUAGAUAGGUUCAUAUGUAUGGAACCAUUCUCUCCUAGAAGUCAUGUGCCAGGUAGCUCCUGAGUCUAUAAGCCAGACAUCCAAAUAGCUGUUUUCUGCCUUCUGAAAUAGUUAUUGCCUCGCUAUAGAUAAUUUCGCCAUCAUCCGAGAUACUUGCUACACACCCCUGAGCAUUUGAUGACUCAGGUUCUUUGCCCUUUUUUUUCUUCUGGUUACUCCAACACUCUUUCUUGACGUGCCCUUUCUUGCCACAGUUGUAGUAUUUAACAUUCUUCUUACUUCUAGAUUUUGAUCUACCAUGAUUGUGACUCCCACUGGGGUCACGUUCCAUUGAUCUCCCUCUCGUCACCGAUAGCGCCUCCGCUUGCUGCGAACUUGCUUGUCUGUUUUUCUUAUUUUUUCGUCUGCUCUCCUCAUUUAAUACGGAGGCUGCAACAUCGUCAAAAACUAGACUGUCUGCUGGAUUGUUGUUCGUCAGGUUGAUAAUGAGCUGAUCAUAUGGGUUCGGUAGACUUUGAAGUAAAAGCUCUGCAUGUUCAUUCUCCUCUAUAUUAUGACCCAACGUUGUGAGUUGUGAAAAUAAAAUUUUCAAGGUGUUGAUGUGGUCGGUCACCAUUGUAGAUUCCGCCAUUCGAAGAGUAUAGAGCUUCCUCUUCAAGAAGAUUUUGUUGUGUAGUGACUUGGCCUCGUACAAUUUUGUGAGAGUAUCUCAUAUUUCCUUCGCUGUAUUUUUCUCUGCCACACUGGAUAAUACUCCAUCUGCAAGUGCCAAGUGUAGAUCAGAAACGGUGUUGCCAUCUAUCUCGUUCCACUUGUCAUCAGUUAUCUCCAUGGGUCUUUCUCCAAUUGCUGCCAAGCAAUUAUUUUUCCUCAAUAUAGCUUUCAUCUUCAUUUUGCACAACGAAAAAUUAUUUCCAUUAAACUUCUCAAUUUCAUACUUUACCACCAUUUUGUUGAUAAAUACCACACACAAGCUAGUGUACCACCCUGAAUAGUUGUAAGUAUGUGUGAGAAUGCACACUAGGAAAGUUCCCAGGAAAGACUGGAGGGGUCACAAUGGUCCCACCUAAAACCCAGACUCCUUAAGCUCUUAUCGCCUUUGUGACAGAACUUUCCUAGACAUGUACAAAACCACACAAUUACUUUACUCACACCACUAUUCCCUGCUUUGGACCGCAAAAUUAUUAGAUCGAUCCCACCGUUUCUUGUGAACAGUAUCGUAUCUAUGAACAGUGCCGUAUACGUGAACAGUACCCGACUCUAAAGAAUACAACCAAUAGCUCUUAUACCACUGUUAGGAAAUUGGUGGGUGAAGCAGGGCCACAGCUAAAAUGAAAUUGGAAGAAAAAUAAAGAACAAGCACAAAAAGGACACUAGAAAAUUACGUGGUUCGGCUUUUAGCCUACGUCCACGGGCGAACACAGAAGGAAAAUAUUUUACUAGUGAAAAGGAAUUACAAGUAUUGUAGUAUUUUAAUUCACUACCCAAAACUCCAAUACACUCAAACUCUCAAACCAAUAGACUCUUAAAAUACUCUCUAAAUAAAUAAAAGAACUGAAGAACUCGAUGAUUUACAAAUGAAGGGAGCCCGCACUUUUAAAGCCAAAAUUGGCUACUGUUCAUUUAAUAUUUAAUUAUUAUUAUUAUUUUAUUAAUUUUUCUUUUCUUUUCCUUCUUCGGCCCGGCAUCUCUUUUUCUUCUCUCUUUCUUCUUUUUCUUCUUUCUAUUUUGUUUCUUUCUUUUGUUCCAGUAAAAAAAAUGGAAGUAAUACUUUCUUCUUCAAAAUGGGUGGGCCCACCUUCUAGAAGGGUGGAGCCCACAUGCCAUUUUUGUUAGAUAUCAUCUUCAAAUUCCCUCAGCCAAGAAGUAACGAUUUCAACCUCCACAUUAAGGUUCUGAAUAGCUUGUUUUGCAUCACCAAGCAACGUGACUUCUUCACCAGCUAAUACCCUUCUCAGCCUCUCUGAAAAUAGUCUGAAGCUGAUGUCCAUAUCUCCUCCUCUCUCAGACUCACCCUGAAAUCAGUCCUGUAGCAUGCAAAGAAAUAAUUAAAAGAGAGAGGGGAAAAGGAAAAUAUGCUUUAAAGCUCUCACUUCAAACAUUAGUGCUGGCUCCCAUACCUUCCUUCUCUUAGCUAGUUCUCUAGUCAAGAAGUUGAAUCAAGAUCAUUGACUCUCAAAUUAUAACAGAUCAAGGCAAAAUCUUACAAUACUCUUGUCUUCCAAAUGUUGUAAAAAGAAUAAAGCAGAGAAAAAUAAACAAGACAUCGUCAAGUUUUGAUCAAGACCAAUUUGUUUUAUACAUCCACUUUUAAGAAAGGAAGGGUAAAAACAAUUCUGCUGGGACUAUAAACGCUUGUUUGAAAAGAAGAGAACAAAGCAAGCACAAGAGGGAAAAGGAUCCUCUUCUGAUCUGAUCUCUUCUGAGUUUUUCAAGAUCUUCUGUCAAGUGUCUUUUAGUGGUAGUGUAUGAGUAAGAUUCAAUUUCUUUUAUUUUUUUAUAUAUUAACUACCAAUCAACAAUUGACUUAUUUAUUCAUGAUAUAAUCAGAUCAAGAGAGAAUCUUGAUCCGCACAAGAGCGUUAUCAAUUAUUUAAUAAUUAAGCUGUGGAAAAAUGCAAAAUCAUGUCUGCCACUUGCUGGCAUGCAAAAAAAAAAAAAAUCAUUGUUAAAACUUCUUAGCUCUUAAUUCAAAUAUUUAUGUGUCCGCUGAAACAUUUAUUGUUAAUGAAUGGAAUAGGUCGUAGGUUGACCGACGUAACUCUUUCUCUCAAUACUCCAGUGGUGUAAGCAUGUUAGUUUAGUCAAUAGUUUCUCCUGUACAUAAAUGAUGUUUUAUUAUAGAAUUUUGAUAAUAUGUAUAAUAGGGAAGUAGUUGUAGUUGUAGAAAAGAGAUUGGGUAUUGGUUUAUGUGAUAUGGACUUGGAGCAUAAUAAAUUAUACAACUUGCAAUUAAAUCCAAAAUGGCAGUACUUCAUUACUUUUGUCCUCUGUGAAUAUAAAACACUGACUAUGUAAUCAUAAUACUUUUUUAAUGAGUAUGAUGACAAUUAAAGACAAAUAAUGAUUUUGUAAUUAUUUCAUGGAGUUAAUCACUGACUGCUAUAUCAUGCACAAGUUUUUCCGUGACUAUUUCCCGUGAAAAGGAAAUUUUUAAAAGCUUUAUCAAUGUAGGUUAGUACUAGCAGCUAGGUUGGAGAAGAUGAGGGAAAGGUGACGCUAAUGAAUAAAUAUGCUACCACUUGCAAUUAAUAAAAUGCUAACCCUAUAUGGUAAAGGCUGGAGAAGAUGAGGGGAAGGUGACGCUAAUGAAUAAAUAUGCUACCACUUGCAAUUAAUAAAAUGCUAACCCUGUCUGGUAAGCUAGCUCUGUUCAUUGAAAGCAAAAGCAAUAGAAUCUUUGACCUUGCUGCCACAAGAUGAUUGUCAUGGAAGGCACCAAAGUUUCCAAGUAACAGACAAAGUUAAAGUAGUUAGCACUAUGAGCCGAGGCAAAGACAUACUUCUAAUCAUCGUAUUUGCUUUUUAAGAGUCUUCACCCUAAUUUUCCACAGCUUGCUUCUCUGCCUCAUACCUUAGUUUUAACAGCAUCUCCAUCUAAUCCUCUCAACCCACCACACGGGGGUUUCUUGUUCAUCCGCUCCCUCCUCCUCCCUAGAGAAGAAUCAAUGGCCUGAUACAAACUUGAUUUUACGCUAUCAAGUACGGCCACUACUAAAAGUUGAGGUGGUACCUCGAUGAAUAAAUCUAUCAACUCCUCCAUUCUAUUAUUUAGACCCAUUGUGAACCUCUUCUUAAAUCCUGAAGAUACAGAAGAAUAAUUACCGGCAUCAGCCGCUGUUGAUGUGUUGAAUCCUCGAUGAUGAAUUAUAAAUUACAAGACUUGCAUGUACAUCACAAACAAAAUUUGUAUCCCAAGGCUAUAAAUAUAAAAUUACUCAAAAAUAAAUAUACAUGAUUAAUCAUGUACGACGGGAUCUUAUUUCUUCAACGAGAUUUAGAGAAAGUACUAGAUCGUUUGUAAAAUUUUAUAUUUAUUAUAUCUUCAUUUUAAAAGCUUAUACAUAUCCCACAGAAAUUUGGGGAUCUUUUAAGCAUACUUUUUUAAGAAAUGAAAAAUGAUAAAGAGUACUAAUAGUGACAUAAGGGUGACAAAAAUAACUGUAAAUUGUCCAGUGUUACAAUAUUGAUUGAAAAAUAGUUAUAAUUUUUUUUUAACACUAUAUGACUUUACAGUUGUUUUGUCACCAUUAUAUCGUUCUUCGAUUUAAGUAUCCAUACUAUAUGAACCCUCAUCUUUUUGAAAAGAUUAUCAUCUUAAGACACUAUUUAUAAUUAUUUUCGUAUGAGUCCUUAAUGUUAAAAAUAUAACAAUCAAUUAAUGAAAUCAAUGAUAAUUGAAUUCCAAAUAGGAAUGGCAGAAAAAUCGAAUCCCACUAGAUCAUAUUUUCUACAAGGGUAAUGCUAAGUUACAUGCAUGUACCUUACAUCCCUCUCACAUGAAUAGUGUAUGGAUACUAUUCAUGUGAGAGGAUUGUAAGGUACAUGCAUGUAACUUAGAGGGAUCCUUUCUACAAACUGUGGCCACACUCAGGCUUCGCAUAAAAGCUUGAGCCCAGCUCGAAAGCCCAAAAAACUACAUAAAAACUUGAAAAUAUGUAUUAUAUAUUUUAAUUAAAAUACAACUUUUAACAAUUAUUUAAUUCGCUUUUAACAUAUAUUUAAAGUUUUAAAUCAUUCAAGUCCAACUUUUAAAACCUAAUCUAACCACACACAAAAAAACUUAAUUUUAUACACUAUAAAUUUACGAAAUAUAAUAAAAAAAGUCUUUAGAAAUAUAAAAUGUAAACUUCAGGCUCUUUGGCUUGGCUAGAAAAACCCAGCGUUUACCAUCUCUAAUUCCAAGUCUUAAAGACUUCUCCAAAUGUGUAGUACAACAUUGUAUAGGACCAAUCACAUGGAGAUGAUUUGUAAAUUUUCGUACGCAAUUUUAAUAUGCAUAUCAGGAGAGAGUAGAGAAGAGAGGCAGCAAUAUUAGUUGAUGCUUUUAUAGGACAUAUAAUGUAAGGAAUAAAACAAAGAUUGCAAGAAACUCUACAAAUUUUGGAAUUCAGCAUCCAAAAUAUCACUAGAACUUGCAAUACAAGCUUUAAUUUCUUCAACAACACGUCGAAUUUCGGCCAGGAACACAAACGCAGAGAUGGGUAUCAAGAUCACAUUCAAACGCAUUUUGCAGUUGUCACACUCAGCAUUGCUUUUACAUGUGACUGCUUUUGAUUUCGGCUGAGCAUCAACUGCCGGCAUGGAAAUAUAAAACAACGCACCUGCAUAUAUAAAUGCCAAACAAUUAAUUAGCCUAAUGCUAAUAACACACCUGCAUAUAAAAAUGCCAACCAAUUAAUUAGCCUAAUGCUAAUACCUUCGUAUAAUAAUUAAUUAUGCAUGCAUCGAUGUGAAAAGAUGAGGAAGAGAAGAUUAAGGAACAAACAAGAGGCCAGCAAGAGAGUGAUGAAAAAUGUGAAUUUAAGUUCCAUUAUAUUAAUGUAAGCAGAAGUGCAAAACUGAGUGUCUGAGGAUAAAAAUAUUAAUAAAUUAAAAACUGGUUGGUUUGUUUAGAUUCAUGAGUUUUUCUAGACAGUAUUUAUGGGGGAAAAUUUAAUCCAUUUGACAACUGAAAAAUUCAGAAAUCAAACCUCGAAUCGACAGAUUAGAAAUUUAAAUAAUUAACUUUGUUCUAUAUGCAUGCAGAAAAUUAGAUGUAUGUAACUUUGUCAUAUACCAUAUAUUCUAUGAGGUGGAAGAUUUUCUGCUUCAUUUGUAUCAAGUAUAUGGUACCAAUCAAUAAAUUUUAUUUUGUUAUAUGUUGAUGCAAAAUCUGGUCAUGUCAGUAUGUAGGCCUACCAGAUUCCGACACCAGCAUUUGAAUUUGUUUGUGUGGAGAGACGGUUUCUAAUCUUGAUUUAGCAACUUGUACAAAAGUUGGCAACCAAGAACUCGACAAGUAUGAGCAAGAAUUGGCGAGCACUAUGUUCUCCUGGCGAGUUCCUGCAACCAAAAGAACGGUUAAGGGUGCCAGAAGUUUUUCGGCGCUAACCUUACUCAAGUCAGUAUCAAGAAUUUUCGCAGGAUAACAAAGUACAUGAAUAUAUAUGUAAAGUGAAUCAAUCUAAGUGAACCAAAAAGAGAAAAGUUAGAAGAAACUCUCUCUUAAAUAAGAAGAGAUGAUGAUAAGGAGAGAUGGUGAUCAAAAAAUAAAAGGGAUGAAGAAAAUAAAAGAUAAAUCUUCAAAUUUCCUAAUAUUCGAUAGGGGUCCAGGGUAUUCAAAUUUUGGAUCCUUAUCUUGUUGCCCCUUGGGAAUUCUAUAGGAGUUCAAAAUCCCUCUCCUUUGGAUCUCAGUGAAGUGGGUUUUUGGAUAGGGCUCCUCUUUCAUCUCCCCUUAAUUCUAGGAUUAUGAGUUAUUUGAAUAGGAGUCCACUUUCUUUACUCUUUAGGAUCAUGAAGUGUGGAUUUUGUGGAUAAAACUAAUUCCCUAGGUUUUCAGAUGAGGUGGAAAGGUUGUUUUGACUAGAUUUGUCCCCAGCUUCAAUUGUCUCCUUGCCUACUCCUGCUCGCCAAAUUUCCUCCAGGCCGUUUUAAGUGGCAAGGCAAGUAUAAUCAAGCUUCAAGGAAAGCUUGAUUCUAGUUGCCCUAUUUUAUCAACCAAACAUUAUAUAUACUUAUCGUAACUUAUAGUAAACUAAGAAAUAUUAAAGGUCUUCUAGCGUAUUUUGAGUUAUAAAAGGAGCACGCUUGCAAAGGAAAAGAAAGAGCCGUCACCCAAGGGAAAAUAAUAGAGAAAACCUAAAGAAAACAAAAGAUAAGAGCGUUUUGAGGGUUGCAACAGAGAAAUCACAAUGGACAAGGAGAUAUCGCAAGAUUAAGCAUACUUUAACUCUUUAUCUUGUUUUCUUGUUUUCUAAUUAUUCAUGGGAAUGCAUUUGAUGGCUGAAACCAUUUUAUUUAUUGUUUUGUCACAAAUCAUGAACUAAAAUUGAUUGUGGUUGAGUGAUAAACGAUCUUAAUGGUUAUUUGACUGAUAUACAUAUGUUGCUCUAUGUUUGCUAUAACAUUUGUCUUAAUUGUAUUUAUUUUAAUUUUCUAUUUCAACUGACCACUCAUUUAGUGGAUAUUACUAAGAAAGAGGCUAAAAAAUGCCUGACUUAGUAGAUCUCAUUAAGAUAAUACUUAAUUUUAGAUUAGGUUUCCUAAGUUGAGUAAUUCUCAAUUUGAAUAGAGUCAUUCUUGACCUAAAAUUAGUAAAGAACUAGAUAUAUGGAUUCACCUUAUAGGGUAAAUGAAACCUAGAUUGUUUAAUGUUAUAUUUAAUGUUGGCAUAACAAUUGGUCACUGUUAGGUUGCAUUAUAUAUAAGAUAUCAAAUAGGUGACAGCUAAGGAUGCAUGGGGGAUUCUGCCCAGUGGUGUAGUAGAUGUUGUAGCAAUGAGUUCUUAAUUAAGAAAAAAGUCAACACUAUUAAGUGAGUUUAUUUACUCAACUACUCUAUUACCAUUUGAUUUAUCUUUGUGUUUGACGUGAGAAUUUUCUUUAUUACAUUUAUUUAUUGCAUUUUUAAUUUAAGUAGUUCAUUAGUUUUAUAAAUUAUCUUAUUUUAAUUAAAACAAAAUUGCACUGUUAAGGUUGUUACACCAAAUCUGAAAACAUCAAAUCCCUGAGGAGACGAUCUGAAUACUCAUCAGUAUAUUAUUUGUUGUGCAUACUUGCACAUUAACAUCCAUAGCAAUAGAAAUAAUCCAACAUGAGGUGACUUCUGUAACUUGUUUUUUGGCAAAAGGAAAUGGCUCGAUAACUGGAAAAAGCAAAAGAAAGGAAGGAAAGAGAUAAAUGAUGUGAGAAAUUAAGGAUUUUGGGGAAGUGAAAAUUUAAAUAAUUGGUUCAGCGCAUACCAUAUCACAUACAUUUGAGAUGACGCAAUAGCUUGGGCAAAUAGGUGUCAGCUAAUUAGGGGAGUGAAAAAUCUUUUUCAACAACUUUUUGCUAUAGAGUCGGGCAACCAAAAUGGCAACUUGGAAUAUAGGAUACAUUAAGUUUCUAGUUUUGAUUUGUUUUACUCUCAACACUAGAAAUUGGGAGACUGAUGUUUUGGGGUGAGAAACAUGACGAUCAAGCACACAUGAGCAGAAUGUGCUCCCCUCAGCCUAAAAUGGCUCCUCAAGAAGAUUAUCCCACAUGAGGCAUGUAGCUAGUCUCAUGAGCAGAGUCAGCUUUAAGACGUGCGAGGAGAGACCAUAACCAAGUCAAAUCGAAGACUUGAUCAAAGGUCAACCCGUGGGUUUCCUCCAAAGAAUUCGGGCACGAAGCCCACUCACUAGUAGUUAUGUUGCCCACUUGCCAAUGGUUUUGUAACUAACCCAGUAACGGUGUUGGGGGAGAAGAGGCCGAUACUUCCAGUUGGAUACAAAAGCUUUAGAGAACCGAGGUAAGGGGGUUGAACAACUUUUCAUUUAAUUUUCUCGUGCUUUCUCUCUCUUUUCACAAUUUUAUCUUCUCUAUCUUUCUUUCUUUCUAAAAUAAAACAUUUCUUUCGUUAGCGUUGUUAUAAUUAAGCCAUGUGAAUUGUGGUAUAAGUUUUUCUAGGUAGACUGAGAUAGUUGACUUGAGUGUCAAAGGGUUUAUGCCAGAAAAACCUCGGGCUUCCCCUGACUAGUUGUUGUGAACGCUAGUGUUCUUGGAGAAAGUAUUCGAGAUCACAGGAACUUGUUCGAUAGUGAGGAAGCAACACAGAACUGUCUCCCCAAUAACAAAUCUAAGUGCUGAUGUGGUUAUUUGGUCGCUACACAGCUCGACCAGAUUUCUGCAUCGAUGGUCAUCAUAUGAAAAAUGCGAGCAAAAGCUUAACCUUGUAAAUAAGAAUCAGUCACAGGCGUCAAGUGGAUCUAAUAUUCAUAUUAUAAGAAUUUAAUAAAAUGAAAUCACUUUGUAGAUAAUUCAGAUAGUAAAAUACCUCUCACAGACUUCUUUAUAUCCCACGAUAUUUUAUUGUGAUUGAACUUAGGGUACGUUUAGUACACUAUAUUGUAUUAUGUUGUAUUGCAUUAUUUUAAUACAGGUGUAUUGUAUUAUGCUAUAUUACAUUAUCACUGUAUUACAACAAUAUUGUACAAUGUUUGGUGCUAUAUUGUACUAUGUUAAUUUUUAAUUAUAUUAUGUUUGGUAUUGCAUUGCACUGUAUUAAUUUUUUGUGAUUAAUUUAAAUUAUAUAUUUAGAAAAUAAUCCAUGUAAUAAUUCUAUAGUAUGUGUAAUAAGAUUUAUAUUAUUAUGUAUAUUGUUAAUUUCAAAUUAAUAUUAUUCAAAUCUAUUCAUAUUUAAACAUUUAUUAUUAGUUAUAUUAAAUUCCUAAAUAAUAAUCCAUUUUUAUAUAUUGAUUACAAUAAUAUAAUUAAAUAAUGUAAUAUUAUGUUAUAUUUUUAUUUUUACAUGUUAUUAAGUUAUUGUUAUUAGUUAUGUUAACUUAUUAAAUAUUAAUCAAUUUUAUAUAUUAAUUAUCAUAAUAUAAUUAAAUAAUACAUUAUUUAGUAUUUUAGUUAUAUUUUUAAUAUAAUAAAAAUUAAAAAAUAAUAUAAUAUUAUUUAAUAAUAAAUAAUAAAUUUAUAUUAAUAAUUAUAAUAUAAAAUAAAAAUUAAUAUUAAUAUUAUAUAAUAUAUAAUAUUAUAUUAUAUUAAAAAAUUAUAGUUAUUAUUAUUAUUAUAUAUUAAAAAAAAUUAUUGCGGCAAUUACCGCAUUAGUUAAGAUUAAUGCUGCUCACUGCUUUCCAAUCAAUUGUCAAAUAUGGGAUUUGUUCAAGUAAACUGAACCCACACGCUAAUGCUAUAUAAUACCACACGUCAAACACACCCAUAAAGCAUCUCAAUCAAAUUACUACAUGAAAGAAACCGAAACUAAAAAGGGAAAAAAAAAAAGUUGAAUUGUACUCAAACUGGGUAUUGAUAAAUGGAUGCACGGAAGCUUUUAAGUGGAGGCAAAGCAGGCAAGAAUUGAUUUGCCGAUGGAACCAAAAGAACAAUUCAAAAAAAAAAUUGAAUUGUAUUCAAACUGGGUAUUGAUAAAUGGAUGCACGGAAGCUUUCAAGCAGAGGCAAAGCAGGCAAGAAUUGACUUGCCGAUGGAACAAAUAGAACUCUAUUGGCAUUACUGAAAUGGCAUUUUAUUCGAUCUUGAGUACCAGAGAAAGAUUACACAAGUCAAGAGAAAAGGGGAAGGAGCAUUUAGCCUUUACUUGUAAGUAAAGGUAAAUAUCUUGGUUCAAGCAAAGAAAGAGAUACCAUACUAGACCAAAAGGAAAGCAUCUUAAGAAACAGUAAAGAAAGCAAAGACUUAGUUCUAGAAAAGAACAAGAUGCUGACGUCCUUUAUAAUCUGCUUAUCGUCUUCUUCUUCUUCCGGUCUCUGUUUUUCCAAUAAAAAGAUUUUGCUAACUGGAUUAGGAAAGAAAAAAUGAAAACCCUGAUUGCAAGAUGUUUUGGACAUUUAUAUCAUUUUCAUCUUUCGCAAUCUAAUUCGGUCAUUUCUGUCUGUAAUAGAAACAUGAAUACAAUUGAUUGAAAGGAAAAGAUGACAGAGAUGAAACUCCCGCAUUAGUUUAUUAAACGAGAAUGUGAUCCGAUCUUCAAGUCUUGAGAUAUUUUUAUUUUAUUUUAUUUUAAGUUAUAUUUAUUUGGUUGGUUGUGGUUAAUGUUUUAACUUAUACUUGAACUCAAUAAACUAGUUGUUAGUUAAUUAGUUAAUUAUUUGCCUUAGUUUAGGAUUGUGGCUCUUAUUCUUUAGUUUCAAAUUUCAUAUGUAAGCUAGUAUUUAAACUAGCAUCAAUCUUAAUAAUGGGACGCUGAAAUACUUUAUUUGGCAACUGAGAAAUUGUAUUUGAGAGGUAUUUGGUCCCUCAAAACACCAAAAACAUGUUCAUGGAGGUUUGGGUUUCCUUGGAUUAACUUAUUUAUCACUUGUUCUUUUUAUUUUAUAUUAUUUUCAGUUGCAGACAAUUUGUGCCUGAAAAAGAAUGUGAACAUCUUAACGGAUAGUUCAACACUAUAUUAUUGGAUUAAGAAACCACAAGAUACCAAGGACAUCCAAACCAACUAAGAGGAUUUGAAACAAUUACAGACUCAAAAUUAUACAAGUGAAUCCAAAACUAGAAUGUAAGACAGUGACUGGAGUCUAUGAAAUCAAACCUCUGCAUUUUAACCUCAUAUGUAUGAGAAUGAAGUCAUAACUUUGUAAAUUCUGGAUUUUUCAGCUGAAAUGAUCUCUCAGGCUGCAGCUAUAACAUGGCUUCUCUGAUACUACCUGCAGAAUGAAUUGGCGAUAACCAGACCUGAAGAUUUUGAUUUCUUUAUCUUUUCUACUUCAUUUAAUCGAUUAAUCUCAAUGGCUGUAAGGAUCCUUUUUUGAUGCAACAACGUGUGUGCUUUAGCGUAAACAAUUUAAUGCACCAAAAAAAAAAAGGCCUUAUUGAACUCUGCUGGUGGGUUGAUAAAAAACGCUAAUGGGGAUUGGGUUGCUGGAUUCUGUGCGAACAUUGGCAUUAGUUCGGUUACUAAUGCUGAACUCUGGGGUUUAUUCUAUGGUCUUGGUCUGGCUUGGAAGCUGGGGGUUCGGAAUUUGUUGGUUGAAGUUGAUAGCAAGUGCACUAUUGAACUACUUGCAAACACGAGCAAUAGUCCAAAUAGCUUUUCUUCACUGAUUCAAAGCAUCAGGAAGCUCCUUGAUAGGGAUUAGCAUGUGUGCAUUAACUAUAUUUAUCGUGAAGCAAAUUUUGCAGUGGAUUUUCUUGCGAAUUUUGCAAUGAGUCAACCUCUUGGUUUCCAUUUCCUCCACGAUCCUCCUCGUGGUGUUGUCCAUUGUUUAAAUCAUGACAUGUACGGGAAUGCUUUCCCUCGUUUUGUUUUUGUUUAGCCUUGUUGGCUCCCUUUUGUUUAAAAAAAAAAAAGGCCUUAUUGUAGUGCCUAAGAGGAUCUUAGUACUUCUUCACAAGAAUAUUUACUAGGAGAGUCAGCCAUUUAUGAAGUUCAUGAAUAAUCAAUCUUUUCCGCAAAACAAACCAAACAUACUGAGUGUCAAACAUGCCCAGCCUUAGAAGAGGAUUCCAAAGCAAGCAACAGAACAAAGACAGAAAAUACAUUCCACUGAAUCCAAGACUGGAAAGGCGUCACAAAUAUUAUUUAUUUUUUUGCACACAAUUCACCAACCAUGGCUGAAGCACCAAUCAAUCAACUCUCAAUUGAAUAUCUGAAAUGAUAUUUCCUAUUUUUGAGAGGACAGCAGAUACAAAGAAAGCAAAAAAUGUCCACCAUACGAUCAGGAUUUAUUUGUAUAUACAACAGAAGUGAAGACUAACUGAAAGGAUUCUGGUUGAAACUGAAACGCGGGCUGCAGUUAUGAUAUUUUCUGCUCGGACUUCACCUACACAAGUCAUUGGAGAAAUUGGUGAAAAAUAAAAUUUUUAUAUUACAUUUUUUAUCUUAACUAUUAAAACAAAUGAUGCCAAUGUCUGCUAGGCUCACGGUUGAACAUACAAGGGUACUGAAGUCUCCCCUGCGGCUAAAGAGGGUGAAAUGAUAAGGGUGACUAUCAGAAACUCUAAAGAGGGCUCAACUAUUUAACUGAAGGAGGAGGAAAAUAAAUAUAUUGAAGAGAAAGUAUACGAAAUUAGAUUAAAAAAAAAUUAAAAGUUGAAGAAAUUGGAUAAAAGGAGAAACUUACAUCGAAUUCAAUCGGGGCUAAUCAAAUUCCAUAAGGAUAUAGUUGAAUGCCAGACUGCUUCUUAUCCUCGAAUUCCCGUAGCUUUUGUCUCAACUCCGGCUGAGGCCACCAGCAAUCAAAUUUGUUUAAGCUCUUUAUGCACCAGAGCAGUUCAGGAAUCCUUUUCAAGUAAGCACAAGGGUUGAUAAUCAAGCAUUCUAGUUUUGGCAUGGCUGCAAUCCCCAUAGUCCACUCCUCUAGCCAUAGCAUAGAUUUCAUGUGCAACACCUUAAGCCUUGGAAAACCAUUAGAACCACAAGUCAGCUUUCUACCUGAAUAUGAGUUUUGCUUCAGUUUGAGCACUUGAAGAACCGGCAGCUGUUCUAGUGCCGGCAUGGGGUCAUCCAUUAGAUCAGUAUUAGAAAAACUCAGGUGGGUUAGACUUCGAGGAAAUAGGUUUUCAGCAAGGACGAUUUUGGAGUGCCGCGGCGUCUUGCUUUCAGUCGCCAGCUUCAAUGACUCAAGAGAGCUCAAUCUGCAGAGACUUUUGGGCAACAAAGAUUGAUAAUAACUUAAAUCUCCCCGUAUCUGGAGAUUUGGAAGAUUAGGUAGUCUGCCCAAAGGAAAUAUAUCGCAAAAGAAAUAAAUUUUCAACUCCGGACGGAUAUUGGAAGAGAACAAGAGAUCCCAAGUCCAAUACUCUGAGAAAUUUGAACAUUUUACCAAUUUUCUCCCAAUCUAUUGGGUCAAGGUGGUCGCUUUUUGAAGCAAAGUACAACAAAGAAUGCAAGUGCAAGUCAGAAUCAUCUAAGUAAGCGAAAUCGCUCUGUUUUUCAAAAACGUUGAUUCGUUUGAUAUUUUUUCGUGAUUUACCUUCUGGAUCAAUGAAAGGGAAAAAGAUAAAAUCCGCUUUGAAAGCCAUUACGAAUGACACGGGACGGCCACGGCCAAGAACAGAGCAUGUUUUGAUGGUGCCUCCAGCUCUUCUCUUCUUUGCUUCAACAAAACCUCUAUUGAUUAGUUGUUCUAAGUGCUUCUCAGCAGUUGCCUCAUUAUUGUCUGGAAUGAAACCUUCAGCUAUCCACAACUGAUAUAACUGCCUGGUGGAUAUCUCUAGGUGUGUGGGAAACACAGAUAAGUAGAGAAAACAAAGUUUCAAGCAAAAAGGUAACUUGCAAUAUGUGACUACUACAAUCCCAAGGGGUGUCUCCAAUACUUUCCCUAUAUUUUCUUCUAAUGAGAUGCUUCCAUGAUAUAAGAUGAGGAAAGGCCAUCCUUGGUAAGUAACUCUCAAUGGUCCUCCAGUGGGCACAAGAUCAAGCCGAAUGUUCUCUCCGUUUUCGAACUGAAAUGAGGUGACCAUCUCAAUUUCAGUGAGUGUUAUUAAUAUUCUACUUCCAUUCUGAUUAUCCGGAAGUAUUUCUCAAAUAACGUCCAAUACAUCAGUGCUCCACACGUCAUCAAGCACAAUCAAAUACCGCUUGGUCAUUAGAUAUUCAUGAAGAAUAUUUUUUUUCAUUUUAUAAUUUUUAUCCUUUAUUUCACUCAACCUAGAUGAAGGCAUUAGAAACUUAAUAAUGAUAUCUAAUAUUUGGUCAGCAUCAUGCGGGUAAGGCGCUGGAACCCAAGCGUGAAUAUCAAAAUAAUGCUUCACAUAACUGCUGUUCUAAGCCUCUGCAGCGAAAGCCGUCUUGUCCAACCCAAUGCUAUCAAGUAUGGCCACCACUGAAAGCUGAGGUGGUCCCUCGAUCAAUUGAUCUAACAGCUCCUCCAUUCUAUCAUCUAGGCCUACCAUGUCCCUACUUUUAGAAGAUGCAGAUAUACCGGCUUCAGCUUCAAAAGUUUUGAAGUCAUCAAUGAUUUCGGAAUCCAUGUGCUUAAGUUGUUGCAUCCGUUGCUUAAUAUUAGUGAUUCUGCUUUGGAGUCCUUGAAGAGCAUCACAAAUGUCCUUGUUGUACCUGCUUUGACUCUUCUGUUGAGUGAUGCUGUUUAUGAGUGUGUCAAUAACCUUCCCACAUUCAUACGCAAAACAAUUGAUUUCAUCCAUAAGGUUCCCAAGUUCUGGGUCAUCAAUUUCCUCUUCUCCUAUAUUUUGCAGUAGAAGGCAGGAGAUAUCAUCUUCACAUUCACUCAGCCACGAAGUAACGAUUUCAAUCUCGGCAUGAAGGUUCUGAAUAGGUUGGUUUGCAGCAUCAGGGAACGUGACUUCUUCACCAGCCAACACUCUUCUCAGCCUCUCUGAAAAUAGUCUGAAGUUGAUGUCCAUAUCUCCUUCUCUCAGUACCUCGUUGUUCUAGCAUACAAAGUAACGGAUGAUUAAGAGAGACCAUGAGUUAAAAGAAAUAAAUGAAUAAAACAAAUUAAUAUGUUUGUCAAUGCAUUUGUAAAUGGAAUAAAAUAAAGUUGGUCCUGGAAAUAAUCCAGAUUGUGCUUGUACUCAAAAUAAUGUAAUUGCUACUGACAAGCUAGAUUUCGAUCCUUUUUUUUCCAUUUUAAUCUGAUUUGUCAUCAUACGAAACGUGUGAGCAAAAACUUAAGUUGUAAAUAAGAAUCAGACGAAAAUAUAUGGUAGAUCUAACAUUCAUGAGAUGAAAAUAAUAAAAUAGAGUUAUUUUGUGGAUAAUUCAGAUAAUAGAGUACCUAUUUUUUCUUAGAUGGAUCACAAACUUCAAUAUCCUGACAAUAUAUAUCUUAUUUUUAUUAAAACCAAUACAAUCAAAUUAUUAUGUCGAAAGAAUAUGAAAAAGAAUGCUGAAUUUUAUUCAAACUGUGUAACGAUAAAUGAAUGAUUUUGGUAGAAUUGAAAAUGAUCACGCAUGUGAAAGAAAAAUAAGUUCAGAGAAAAGCAGAAGAUCAAAGACCAUUUAAACUUCACUUGUGUUGAUGUGAGAUUCUGGUUACUCUUUCGAUCACGACCAGGAUCUCUGCUCAAUCAACUCGACCACGAUCAAGAUCUCUCCUCGUAAGGCUUCUUCUCCAGAAGUUCCUGCGUACACAGAAACAGGUCAGAGCACGCCGGUUGUUUUCCCGGCGUAAACCCUCCGACGCUCAAGUCAGAGAUGAAGGUUUUGUGUUCCUUGGAACGCUAGCCACAAAUCUUAUGGCUUCUUUCUUGUAUCAAUUCUUUAGAGCUCUCUUUAUCUCAGUUCUAAUGUCAAAAAAUCUAACCCUUUUACCUUCGUUGGCUAUCUUUUUAUAGGCCUCUCCUGAAUUCAGACCUUCCCUCCAUUCACGCUCGUUAUCCUCCCAUCUCCCGAAAGUGGAUGCUCCAUUUCUGUAAUCGUGGGUGGUUGCGUGGCCUUCGUGCCUUGAUUCUCGGAUUGGAGAGCACGUCUCGCCAAUUGUCGUUGACCGGGUCUCCUCGACUCAACCCUUAGUAGGAAUGGCUUUAUGCCUCUAACAGGAGAUUUGUGGACGAGCAGAAUAUUCCUGCUCCUGUUCCCCUGCUACUAGGUUCUUACAAGAUAUACCUGUUCGCGGGACCCUGCUACCAGAUGCCCGCUCAUCAGUGCUGGUCUUCGUCGAAGAACAUCCCCCAAACACCGGUCCCCCAGUUUCUGGUGUUGGGUAACGUAGUGAGCCGACAGUAGAAACUCGACAGUUCUUGCUCGCGUGGGACAGGAAAAGGCUGCCAAGAGUCGUGUCGCAUUUAAUUGCGAAUGAGGCGAUGUGGCAGAAAUCUGUCCCUCUAUUUGAAUUUCAAACCGACGGUUACGAGACUCUUGGGAUUUAUGCCGUUAAAUGCUGGCAGCCCAAGAGUUUGUUCCACAUUAGGAAAACCCAAAACCCUUCAAAAGAGAAACUCGUCAUUUACUCCAUCUCUAUCUCUGUCUCUCCGGUGAAGAAGUUCUGGCACAAAAGCCUCCAUCCCUGUCUCUCUCCGACUGAGCCACUUCUUCAUGUAUUACUUCUAUUUCCUCGGUCUCGGAUAGUUGUAGAUAAUUUCAUUUCUCUCUGUUUUGCUUGGGUGGUAUUUGGUGGUGUUGCUCUAGUUAUAGCUUAGGGAAUGUCAAAGGAUAAAGAGAAAGUCAUUGAGGUUGAUGACGAUGAGUUAGACUUCCUGCCUAGUCUGCUCACCGAUCCUGCCUUUGACCCCGGGAUCCCCUUAGAACCCAUUAGAUCUAAUGUUGGUACUAGCGCUAGGAGGAUGUCCCCCCAAACAACCUCCUCGAGCGGAAAUAACGGUGAAGAGAGAUCUUCCGACUCGGGAAACACCCUGAGUGAGGAUCUAGGAGGUGAUUCUGGUGAGGCGUCCCCACCAGGAACAUCGCGACCAGAAGGUCGGAGUAUAGUAGGAGGUAGAGCCCUAUCACAGGAUUACGUCAUUGAUUUCAUCACGUGCACAACCACCUUUGACGAGCUCGCUGACCUCCGGGUUAGGUAUAAUAUUCCUGGUGAAAUACCUCUUAAGGUCCCAAGAAAGAAGGAUAUUCCUAGCCGGCUUCCUAGGGGAUAUGUUACCCUGUUUCUGGAGAGUUUUAAGUAUGGGCUAAGGUGUCCCCUGCAACCCUACUUUGCCCGAAUACUUAACGGGCUAAAUUUAGCUCCUGGUCAGCUGAACCCCAACGGGUGGAGAGUACUCUCUGGUCUGUUCAUAUUGUGGGACAGAUGUUGCCAAAGCGAGCCCACAGUCGAUGAGGUGAAGCACUUGUACCAGCUGAAAAGCAGCCCCAAAGAUGCCGGCUGGUAUUACUUCCAAUCAACUACUAAAACCAAGAAACCCAUAACCGAUCUUCCAACUAGUGGUGGUGGGAAUUGGAAGAAAAAAUUCUUUUUUGCUGGGGGUCCCUGGGGUCAAGUUGCACAGAUUAACGGGAAGGAUUAUCACGUCCUACCCCGUUUCGUGGUCCCAGGUUGCCUGUUCGCUUUAGAUGUCUUGUCUCCAUAGUUGUUCUCACUUUACUGGUUUGUCUCUAACCAAAUGUCUAUUCGUAUUGCAGGUUCUUGGGGUGUUCACUUCCCACUCGAACCCGACCAGCUCAAACGGGUCGAGGCUGUACUGGCCAAUUCCUGCUCGAGCCGAGAGCUGCUAACUACUUAUAACCUGGUCGAAUCUGGUUUGGUGUCCACUGGCCAUAAGAUGGAGGAUGCUGUGAUUGGGGCUCUGACUCGAAAACGUCCUCGACCUCAAGCUGCCAAGCGGGACCAGAAUAAAGAUGCUCCCACUGCGAAGUGGGUGAACGUUGUGCAGCAGGUUCCUCCCUUGAAGACUCUACCACCUCCUCAUGUCAAAGUCGGAAAGACUAGCGGAGCCGCCACUGACCCUGCUUCCUCUUCUCCUCCAGUCGGGCCGAGAUCUCGUUUGCCUGAUAAUCGAGCAGAGCAUUUGGUCCCCUAUCUGAACGAGCUUUCUAAACUCGUGAGCAAGAAAGACCUGAAGGACAUUGACGGCUGCACCCUGGGUGAGCUGGUGGGGGCUAUGCAGUAUAGCGCCUUCCAUCUCAGCUGCAUGGCCACUUACUAUAAGGCCAAGGUUGGCCGUUACGACCGGAAGAUGAAGGAGGACAUUCAAUCGGCGACGACCAGAGCUGAAGCUGCCGAGAAGAAAGCAGGAGACUUGAAUCUCGAGAAUCUGAAGUUGAUAGAGCGAGAAUCUCUUGCUCAAGCAAAGGCCGUUACUCUCGAGGAAGAGCUGACUAAGGUCAAGGAGGAUCUGCAAAGGCAGAAGGUUAUGUACGAGUCUCAGCUCGAAUCUCUCCGCGAUUCCCACCGGGCUCAAGUCGAGAACUUGGAGAAGGAAGCUGACAACCAAUACGACCAGGGACUUCGGCAUUCCUAUCGUUGCAUCAUGGCUGUCCUUGGGAAGCAGCACCCUAAUCUGAAGAUGGAUGACCUUGCAGCUGGUGUUGCUCAACACAUGGAUGAGGAGGCGGCGAAAGAGGAUGCCGAAGUGGUGGAGCCAAUUAUGGUUGAGGAGGAAAACUCUCCUCCUCGUGCAAUCCCUGCUGACGUUGGCGAGGCGAGUACCCCACCGAACGCAACUGGUGAUACUCCCCCGGCACCUGAGGUGGACCAGCCAACUGAGGCUGCUCGGCUUACUGACCCGUCGUCUUCUUAAACAUGUUUUUUACAUUGUAUGUUAUGAUGAACAGCUUUACGAACUGUUGGCAUAUUAAUUAAUAAGAAUGUUCUUACUUGUCUUCUGGUAUAGAAGUUGUAAACAAAAAAGUUUUUUUUUUAUUUGGCUUCACAUGGUUGGGCAGAUUCUAGCAAGCUUGACUUCUUAUCUCGCCAUCGAGCAUGCUUUGAGACUUUGGAGCCUUUACUUGCCUUAGAAACUUUUUUGAAAUUCUCAUUGUCUGCUCGCCUUCACAUGGUCGAGCAGAUUCUGGCGAGCUUGGCUUCCUGUCUCGCCAUCGAGGAGGCUUUGAGACUAGAGGAGCCUUUGCGUGCCUUAGGAGAUUUUUGGAACUUUUGUAGUCUGCUCGCCUUCGCCUGGUCGAGCAGAUCCUGGCAUGCUUGGCUUCUAGUGAGCCUUUGUAUGCCUUAGGAAUUUUUAUAACACUUGAGGGUCUGCUCGCCUUCGCUUGGUCGAGCAGAUCCUGGCACACUUGGCUUAUGGUUUCGCCAUAAAACAGGCUUUGAGACUUGAUGAGCCUUUGCAUGCCUUAGAAGAUUUUUGGAACUUUUGUAGUCUGCUCGCCUUCGCUUGGUCGAGCAGAUCCUGGCAUGCUUGGCUUGCAGUGAUCCUUUGCAUGCCUUAGUAAUUUUUAUAACACUUGAGGGUCUGCUCGCCUUUGCUUGGUCGAGCAAAUCCUGGUGUGCUUGGCUUCUGGUCUCGCCAUAAAACAGGCUUUGAGACUUGAUGAGCCUUUGCAUGCCUUAGGAGAUUUUUGGAACUUUUGUAGUCUGCUCGCCUUUGCUUGGUCGAGCAGAUCCUGGCAUGCUUGGCUUCUAGUGAGCCUUUGCAUGCCUUAGGAAUUUUUAUAAUACUUGAGGGUCUGCUCGCCUUCGCUUUGUCGAGCAUAUCCUGGCACGCUUGGCUUCUGAUCUCGCCAUAAAACAGGCUUUGAGACUUGAUGAGCCUUUGCAUGCCUUGGGAAUUUUUAUAACACUUGAGGGUCUGCUCGCCUUCGCUUGGUCGAGCAGAUCCUGGCACGCUUGGCUUCUGGUCUCGCCAUAAAACAGGUUUUGAGACUUGAUGAGCCUUUGCAUGCCUUAGAAUAUUUUUGGAACUUUUGUAGUCUGCUCACCUUCGCUUGGUCGAGCAGAUCCUGGCAUGCUUGGCUUGUGGUGAGCCUUUGCAUGCCUUAGGGAUUUUUAUAACACUUGAGGGUCUGCUCGCCUUCGCUUGGUCGAGCAGAUCCUGGCACGCUUGGCUUCUGGUCUCGCCAUAAAACAGGUUUUGAGACUUGAUGAGCCUUUGCAUGCCUUGGGAAUUUUUAUAACACUUGAGGGUCUGCUCGCCUUCGCUUGGUCGAGCAGAUCCUGGCACGCUUGGCUUCUGGUCUCGUCAUAAAACAGGCUUUGCAUGCCUUCGUCCCUUAAUUCUCGGAUUGAAGAGCACGUCUCGCCAAUUGUCGUUGACCGGGUCUCCUCGACUCAACCCUUAGCAGAAAUGGCUUUAUGCCUCUAACAGGAGAUUCAUGGACGAGCAGAAUAUUCCUGCUCCUGUUCUCCUGCUACUAGGUUCUUACAAGAUAUACCUGUUCGCAGGACCCUGCUACCAAAUGCCCGCUCAUCACUGCUGGUCUUCGUCGAAGCACAUCCCCCAAACAACUUGUAAAGGAAAAUAUCUUGGUUCAAGAAAAGAUACCAAACUCGCAAAAUGAAAAAGCAAAAAGGUUAAACAAAGACUUGGUUCAAAUAAUAGAACGUGAUGCUGAUGUCCUGUAAUCUUUUUUUAUUAAUUUUCAUUUUUCUUCUCCCAAUUUUUUUUUUCCAAUCCGAAAAUGAACGCAGUAUACAUUUGCUAACUGGAAGAACAGUCAUUUUGUCUCAAGAUAAAAUGACAAUAAAUCAUGAUUACAGGAUGUUUUUCGACAUUCUUAAAGAUAAAAAAAAAAGUCAAUAAACUCAACAUUAUGUCAUUGGCUAAAGAGUAAAGAAACCAUGAGAAUCCAAUGACAACCAAAGCAGAAGGAUUAAUUUUAAUACAAAAGGGAAUUCCUCUGCUGCAAACAAGGGCUUUGAUGUGAUUGUAAGGAACUGAGAGUGAGCAGCAGCACAUCCUGUGCGCCAUCAACUUCAUUAUUACAUUACAAGACACCCUCUGCGUUACAAUACGAUUAGGCAAUAUGCCCCAGUUUCUUUUUGUUGUGUUUGACGUACCAAGAAUCACACACCCAAAGACCCUUUUGACGUAUCAAGAAUCAUUCCCAGAAACCCAAACUCAAAAUUGAAUCAAUCUGCCUACAUCCACAGAAGAACACGGACCAUUUGACAAUCAUUCCAAGAAUAUACAACUUUUUCUCUCUAGAUAUUUCUCUUUCUAUGGCUUUGAUGAGGCCUGUGAAGAUGACCCAACAACUAGCCUUAUAAACUACAAUAAAGGCUAUUUCUAACAAACCCGAUAUUUCCCUGCACUUUUUAACUAACCCUAAC
rnacentral:lncRNA from 1 species